AAUACCAAAGUGUGAAUCAAUAAAGCCAAGUCAGGUCGAUAUCAAAUUCUACAUUUUAUGAAAAGGAAAACAAUACUAGGGAAAUGCAAUUAAACGAACAUACAACCAAGAAGUCUUUCCCCUCUUCAUGCGGAACUGGAGACUCUCUUAUGGACGAUGAAGUGCUUAUUAGCGCUCCCAAUGACGAGCAUUCUCAUUCUGACGGAUUGUUCGGAUCUUUUAGAGAUGACUUCUAAUCCUGAGGAGUGGCCUACUUUUUCUACAGAGUUGAAGGACUUUGUGUAUUACAUGGCUUUGUUUUCUACUUUUAGUGUUAGACAUAUCACUCGUAGUGGUAAUUCUUCCGCCGAUCAUCUCGCGAAAUGUGCAAGAGGUCGCGGGUUUUGUUUUUCCCAUGUAAGUUUUACGGUACCUGACUGGCUCUCUCUAGAAGAGAGUCAUUUUCCGUGAAUUAAUAUAUGGUGUUUGAUUGGAAAAAAAAAAAAAAAAAAACUAAGAUUUUCUUAAAAAAAAUAAGAUUCGUCAAGAGAUUAUAUUAUGGAAAUAUUGAGGAGUCGAAUACGAUGUUAUAUUUCUAAAGAGAUUGACAAAAAUAGCACUACAUUUGAAAAGUUUCACAAAUAGCACUAUAAACUUUAAUUAAAUAUUAAAUAUAAAUAAUUAGUUCAAUUAAAAUAAAUAAAUAAAUAAAAUUGGAAAUUUCCCGCGAAAAGUUCAGGAAGGAUUCCACGUAAUUCAGGACGGGAAAAAGUCGGACGGAAUUAUUUUUUCCGGGAGCGAAAAAUUUUGAUGGAAAUUUUUUUGGCAGGAAAAUUUUGACGGGAUUUUUUUUUGGCGGGAAAAUAUUUGUUUUUGGUGAAUAUUGGUGGGAAAAUAUUAACGAUGAAUUUGUGACUUUUUGUAUAUAUUUAUAAUUAUUUAUUAAUUUACAAAAUCAAAAUAAGGUGCUAUUUUUGUCCAAUAAACUUUUGAGUGCUAUUCUUGUCUUAAAAACUUGAUUUGGGGCUAUAAGAGGUAAUUUCUCAUCACUAUUAUCUAAGAUAUGUCUAGUUGUUUAUACAGCCAAGUACAAUGGGAGACGAGUUCAAUUUGGGGAAGUUAUGUUAGGAAUCAGUCAAAAUAAAACUAAUUCCAACAAUCAAAACUAAUAUAUAACCUUUUUUUUUUAUCAUAGCAUGGAUAUUACCUAGUAACUUAAUAAAAGUUUAACCUUCUUUUAGUAUCCCUUCUAACGUUUUUGAUUUGGAUCAAAAAAUUCAGUGUUUAGGAUUUCUUUAGCUUGGAAGAUUUAUAAAAAGCUAUUGGCUGGCAUAAUUUUUAAUAAUAUAGAGAAAAAUUAUUCUUUAAAAAAGAACAUUGCAGUGAAUGAGUCUCGUAACCACUUAUUAUUUAAAUAUGAUUUUUCUUCAGCUAUCUGAACCGAUUUGAUAGAAAAAAUGGGAAUUCCAAUAAGAAAAUUUCACAUAUCAUACUAAACUUUUUCUUUCACUGUUUGGCAAAGUCAAUUUGAGUUUCCAUAGAAUAGCCAUAAAGCCAAAAUCGGACCAAAAUGCUCUUGUAACUAAAUUCUUAGGGAUCUAGUUUCACAACCCAGUCUCUUAGAUAAUUAAAAAAAAAAAAAAACUAAUAAACAUUUCGUUGUGAGAAAUGAAGAAAAACGAGAAAGAGAGAAGAACUCUUCAUCUUCUUCACCAAAAGAUUUCUGGAAAUUUGGAGAAAAUUUUCUAUUCUUUAUGUUAUCUUUAAUUCUUUGAUAGUUGGGUUACACAAUCUUCAUUUGAGAAAAAAACAUGUUGCAACAGAGGAAAUAAUUCCGGUGAGACGAAACGAAGAAAAAAUUUCAGGCGAGAAGAGAUUGAGAGAUUUCAGUGUAGAGAACUCCGGCGAGAAGUAAAAAGAAGGAUAUUGGUUUCUCGUAUUUUCGCGACAUAAGUCUCGGGAAUUUGGAGGAUAGAAUGAUGGCGAGAAUAUAUAGAAGGUUUCUCGUACACUAGAAACAUAAAAGGUAGAUUUGACAACGUUUUGCACUUCAUCUUUUUGUAGGAUUGGAAAUAUAGAUCCGAAAGAAGAUGAAAAUGUAGCUGCAAGUUGUGUAGAGCUACCAAUUAGGUUGUUUGGUAAAGGGCUGAAGGGAACAUAAGAAAUGAAAUUUCUGUCAAGCACUCUUUUUGGCUAGCUUUUUCAUAUCCAUCCUAACAAGUAUUCAUUUUCAGGGAAGCUCAUUCUUGGAUUAGUGUGCCGAUAGUUGGUGACAAAGAAACAGCACGAGAUGUGAAUAUUUUUUCGAGUGUCGAUUCACAAAUAUUAUUUGACACAUAUCUUGUGAUUUUGAAAGAUUAUGAUCUGCUACAGACAAUAUCUUGUGAUAUUUUCCCCCUAGUUUAUGUAGGCUAUGAUUGGUGACAAAACUAAAAGCAGUACAAAGCUAUACACAAAAAUUGUUACCAAUCAAAACAAUUUUAUGAAAAGCGGUACGCGAUAACAUAACAGUUCUUUUUUUGGACAAAAACAAAAACAAAUUAAAACGGUUACGAUUAAGGUUAAAUAAAGUUAUGGUUAAAUACGGUUAUGGUUAUAACGGUUAUGGUUAAAUACGGUUACGGUUACAAUAAUUAUGGUUAAAUACGGUUACGGUUAUUUGAUGACUACAAAACGGUUAAUAUCGGAGGCGAAAUCUUACGAGUUACCUAACUUAUUAUAAUACUUUUAAUAAAAUAAAAAGUAUGUUAUAAACCAAAUUUUCUUCAUUUUGAGCAAUAUAACAUUACAACAUAUUUGUUUGAGAAAAAGACCAUUUUUUAUAACGUAGAUUUUUUUAUAUGCGGUAUCAUUUACUUUUUUGAAAAUCUUAGUCUGAACAUUCGAUAUUUGUUUUUGCAUUAUAUGGAGUUACAAUUAUAUUUUUAAAGUUUUAACUAUGCGGUUAAUAGUACGGUUAACCAUGCGGUUACGGUUAAAUAACGGUUUUGAUAUGUUUACGGUUAAUUAACGGUUACGGUUAAUUUUUUUUUAACCGUAACUAAUUAUUUUUUACGGUUAGUGGUUAUGAUUUUUAACCAUUUUAUACGGUUACGGUUGAGAAACGGUCCGGUGACGGUCCAAAAUACGGUUACGGUUAGCUUUUGUUCAUGCCUACAAUCUGCAACUAGGCAUGACCAAAAACUAACGGUAACCGUAUUUUGGAUCGUAACCAGACCGUUUCUCAACCGUAACUGGAUAAAACGGUUAAAAAGCAUAACCAUUCACCGUAAAACUAGAUUAGUUACGGUUAGGAAAAUAUGCUAACCGUAACCAUUGAUAUACCAGAAACGUAUCAAAACUGUUAUUUAACCGUACGGUUAACAGUAUUAUUAACUGCAUAAUUAAACUUUAAGAAUAUAAUUGUAACUAUGUAUAAUGCAAAAAAAAUAUAUAAUGUUCAGAUAAAGAUUUUUGAAAAAGUAAAUAAUACCGCCUAUGAAAAAUCUCAUUAGAAAUAAUGGUUUUUUUCUCAAACAAUUAUUUUGUAAUGCUAUAUUGCUCAAAAUGAAGAAAAUUUAGUUUAUAACAUAUUUUUCCAUCUUGUUAACAGUAGUGUAAAAAAGUUACAUAAAUUAUAAGAUUUUGCCUCUGAUAUUAACCAUAUCGUAGCCACCAUAUAACCGUAACCGUAUAUAACCAUAACCGUAUAUAACCGUAACCGUUGUAACCGUAGUAGUAUUUAACCGGAACCGGUUUAGCUUUAUAUAUAGUGAUUAAGGUUACGGUUAAAGAAAAUUUAUAACUGUAACCGUUGGUUAAUCAACCGUAUCCGUAAUAACCGUAACCGUGGUCAUGCCUAUCUUCAACAAUUAUUUAUGUAAAACCAAAAAACAAAAAAGCCUUUAAAACUUAUCUUUCCACUAUCGGUGAACAAUCGUUUAUCUAAAAUUCAAAAAAAAAAAAAACAAUCAUUCAUGUGGAUAGGUAACGCGAAUUGGUUUGUCAAAUUUUUCUUUUAUCUAAAUAAAUAUUUUAUUAAUAAAACAAAUAUUAUAAAAUACAACUUUGUUUUCCUAUAUAUAGAAGAACGAAGCAAAGUUUAUCAUCGUUGUUCUCCUAGUUGUAUUUAAUUGUUUUUCUUUUUCGCAAACGACUUCUUUUCAUUUAUCAUUACAAUUUGAAUAAAAAAAAGUACAAGACACUAUUAUUGUUUCAGUUAUAUACGAUCAAGGUAAUAAUUAAUUGUUUAUGAUACAUAUAUGUUGCUAAUUUAUAAUUAAGGUCAAAAUAAUUAUGUGAAUAUAAUUUUAGUUUAGUUUAUAUUAUAGUUAUCGUAUAUAACAUAUUCAUGUUAUGUUAUGAUAUAAUAAUAAUUAUUUAAAUGAAUACAUUUGUGUUACAAUGUAAAAAUAAUUUUAGAAGAUGGUAUUUGUACUAUUAUAAUUAGUAUCAUUUGUUACUGCUAAAUCUAAAUUAUUACUAAAAUUGUAUUAAACUGAUUUGUCGUAGUUAAUAUUUUGUCUACAGAGUGUCUAGUGCUAAUGAACGGUCAAGUUCUUCACGUCGACGAAAGAAUGUAAAUUAUAUAUAUCACAUAACUAAUAUAUUUAAUAUAAUAAUUUUUAUAACCCAAUUACAUGAGUCAUUCAUAUAAAAAAAAUAUAUAUAUUUCACUUUUUUUAGAAAGAAUACUGGUCUUUUUCUAAAGAGAGUGUUGUGCUUGAACUAUAUGAAGCUGAGCUUGCAAAUAUAGACUAUAAUACAUAUGGUUUGAAAAAACUACAUCGAAAUCGUAUUAUGAGCAAACUAUUAAAGAGGACGGGUAAACAUGUUGAUAGUUGGAUAAAGGUCAAAAACAAGAUAGAUACAUUGAAGGGAAAUUACAAAGAAUGGGUCGACCUAAUGAGUAAAACAGGUGUAAGUUCGGAUAGCAGAACUUGAGUUAUCCGAAUGGAUGACGAUUGGUGGCAAUUACGUGAGGCGGUAUGUAUUCUAUUUUGUAUUAAUUUAAAUUAGAUGUUAAAAUUGUGUAUCUAAGAAAUAUAUAUAUUUUUUUUCAGGAGAGUAGAACAAUUUUGGCUUGUCACCAUAAACCGCCAAAAUAUUGGGAUGCACUGUAACGUAUUUAUGGACAAUAUGAUGUAUAAACUGAACACAUGUAUGAUGUUGAUGGAGCACGUAGAGAACUGCUUAAAGAAGAUGAAAGAGCAGAUUUUAGUGGUGGUUUUGAUGAGGAUGGUUAUGCUAAUAAUGAGAUUCCUCAAACUCAUGCAGAAAAUACUGAUGAAGAUGCAGCACCCGAAACACAUGUAGAUAUUCCAGUUACAUCGGCAGAAGAAAUCUAUAAUCGUUCAGGUAGAAAUACCGCACGUGCUGCGCCAUACAGUGCCGAACGAGGAGAAAGUAGUCAGCGAAGAAGUAAUUCACGAGUUCAUUUUUCUGGUAAUAAAGAUCGUAGUAACCGUAGAAAGCAUCAAUUCGAAAGCUCUGUUACCACUGCAUUUCAAGGAAUAGCAGAUGCCCAACGUGCAACUGUAUCAGCUAUGCGACGUGAUAGGUACAAUCCCGAAGAAUACGCAAAAUUUAAAGAAGCAUUUGCUAUAUUGAAUUCUUUACCAAUUGAGAAGUGCAAACCGUUUUGGAAAGCCUCAGCAAAGCUUCUUAAGGAGGAUGCAUGGUGGUGUAAUGCAUUUUUAGACACCUCUUUUAAGUCAGAUGAAGAUAGAAUCCGAUUUUUGGAAAGUAUAACAGAGGUGGGCCGAUUGGAAACCGUAACUCCUUCAAAUUUGGCAAACUUUGGAUCCUUUUAAAGUGGUCCCAACGGUGGAAGUGUGCGAUCAUCGGGAAGUUCUAUAGGACAUUCUUUAGGAAAUUCUGUGGGAAAUUCAUCUGGAAACUCUGAAUAUAGGUUUGCUGAAUUUCCACAGUUUCAUUCAUCUCCCGCUAUGGGAUAGUUCUUUUCCUCUCCGGGGCAAGGAUUUAAUAUGCCUGGACAGAUGAUGGGUGCGCCAUAUGUUCCGAUGAUGUUUCCUCAAGGAUUUGGUGGUUAUCCUUUUAUAGCCUCGUCGUCUGCUACACAAAUGAUGCAAACAUCAGGAUCUCCUAGAGUCUUUAAUGUUGGGGCAGCAUCAUCGAUGGGUGGAAUUUCAGCUAGACAAAUGGGAGAAACUAAUCAAGAAACAAGAACAUAUUUUUCUCCUGGUUUUGUAACGCCAAAUCGACGAUCAACUGAUAUUAGAUAUAGAUUUGGUGUACCAUCUGCAACUGGUACUCAGCCACGACAUUUGAAUUUUAUGGAUGAUAGAACAUCAAACAAUCACACUGAUAGCUCGAGACAAUAAAUAUAUAAUCUCAAAUGUUUAUAGUGUUUAUGAAUGUUUGUAUUAUAUUUUUAAGAUUUAAAAUUUAUGUUUAAUGUAUGUUUGUCUACCACUGAUUUUUUAGUCACUUAACUUAUUUUUUUAAUGGCCAGGAAAAUCGUAUGAAAGAGUUGUACUCUCGUGGACUAGAUAAUCUAACACACCAAGAAUUAUGCGAAUUGUUUAUGCUUGAAAAAGAAGAAGUCGAUGAGGUACUUAUUCAACCAACGAUGCAAUACUUUGAACUAUAUUUUUGUCGAUAACCCAUGCAAGUGGGAGGAGGAUUAGGUUGGCUAAAUAUUAAAUGCCAAAUUGAACGUGAUGAUGCUUCAUGCUUACAUGCAGUAAGGAUGACCCGAGGAACAUUCCAAAUGUUGUGUCAGAUGAUGGAAAACAAGUAUGGCUUAACACCAACAAAAAAUAUUAGCAUUGACGAAAGUGUUGCAAUGUUUCUUUCUACAUGUGGUCAUAAUGAAAUUUAACAUACUGUAGCCCGAAAUUUUGGGCGUAACCAAGAGACAGUAAAUCGGAAGUUUCAUAUAGGCAUGACCAAAAGCUACCCGUAACCAUAUUUCGGACCGUAAUCAGACCGUUUCUCGACCGUAACCGUAUAAAACGGUUAAAAACCGUAACCGUUAACCAUCAAAAUAGACUAGUUACGGUUAAAAAAUAUACUAACCAUAACCGUUAAUUAACCGUAAACGUGUCAAAACCGUUAGUUAACCGUACGGUUAACCGCACUAUUAACUGCAUAGUUAAAACUUUAAAAAUAUAAUUGUAGCUGCGUAUAAUGCAAAAACAAAUAUCGAAUAUUCAAAUAAAGAUUUUCAAAAAAAAGUAAAUGAUACCGCACAUUAAAAAAUCUACGUUAGGAAAAAUAGUUUUUUUCAAACAAAUAUGUUCUAAUGCUAUAUUGCUAAAAAAGAAGAAAAUUUGGUUUAUAACAUAUUUUUUCACCUUAUUAAAAGUAGUAUAAAAAGUUAGUUAACUCGUAAGAUUUUACCUCCGAUAUUAACCAUAUCGUAAUCAUCAAAUAACCGUUACCGUAUUAAACCGUAACCGUAUUUAACCGUAACCGUUUUAACCGGAUAUAUAGUGGUUAAAGUUACGGUUAAAGAAAAUUUAUAACCGUUACCGGCGGUUACUCGACCGUAACCGUAAUAACCGUAACCGUGGUCAUGCCUAGUUUCAUGAAGUGUUAAAUGCGAUAGAGCGAUUUGCGUGUGAUCAAUUAGGACUCCAACGUCCCAGCAACUUAGAGAGUAUCCCCGCAGUCUUUGUUAUGAUCCGAGGUAUUGGCUAUUUUUUAUAGGUUUCAUAGGUGCUAUAGAUGGAACACAUGUUCCUGUCAUAGCACCACAUGAAAAUCGAAGAGUUUAUUGGGAUCGUUUUGGUGAACCAAACCUAAAUAUUAUGACGAUAUGUGAUUUAGACUUGCUUUUCACAUAUAUAUGGAAUGGAGCACCGGAUUCCCUUCUUGAUUCUAGAGUUUUAUCGAUAGCACAAGAGAAUAGCCAAAAAUUUUUGAAACCUCUAACUGGUAAAUAUUAUCUAGUUGAUUCUGGAUAUGCGAACCGAAAGGGUUAGUUAGCUCCUUACCGGAGUAACCAAUAAGAAGAGCUGAGGUAUCAUUUAGGGCAAUUUCAUAAUGGUCCACCUCCAAGAAAUAAGUAUGAAUUGUUCAACAGAUGGCAUGCUUCACUUCGUUCUGCUAUUGAAAAAACUUUGGAAUCAGAAAAAAAUAAAUGGAGGGUCGUGAAACAACUACCGCGAUACAAAUUAGAAAUUCAAAAAAAAAUAGUGCUUGUUACAAUGGAUCUUCAUAAUUACAUUCGGCGUUCCAAUAUUGUUGAUGAUGAUUUAGAGACCGAUGCAGAUAAUGAAAAUGAUAAUGGACAACAUGAUGUAGAUGUAAGUGUGGUCAUUGAAAUAGAAGAGGUGGAAACAUCGAGAAGUGGAGCAUAUAUGGCAGAUGUACGUAAUCAAAUAGCAGAUUUGUUAUGGGAAGCUCGUACUUAAUUUCAAUUGUUUAUGUGUUUGUGUAUGUUUAAAUUCUCUAUGUAUGUAUGAGACAUUGUAUUUUAGAUUAAAAAAAUUUACUAAAAUUAAUUUUAGUAAAUCAGUUUUAAUGUUUUAAUUUUAUAAUAAGUAAAAAGAUAUUUUUAUUUAUUAUAGGACUAGUAAAUUCAUAUUAUUAUUCUAACAAUAAAAUAUUGUUCAUUCUGUAUAAUUUUAAUUUUCAUAUGUAAUUAUAUACUAAAGUAUAUUUCUAUGUAAUUUUUUUUUCUAAACUCUGAAUAUUACUUAUUAUUUGUACCGCUAUGAUGUUUCUAAUCAGAGUAAAUUUUUUAAAUUUGUCCUGUGUUGUUUUUUGUACAGCUUUCGUGUUUUAUUCUUUUGUACAGUUUUGCAUUAUUUCCUAACAGUUCCAGCUAAUAGCUAAAAAACUGGUACAGCUUUAGCUUUAGGUUACCAGUCAGACCCGUAAUAACUCAUUAUGACUAAGAUUUAAGCGCACUUUUAUCUUUCUCAUAUUUUAAUUUCUUAUUUUUAUAUUUUUCAUACUUCAAGAACUUUCUAACCACCCACUUUAAGCAAAGAACUCUCUGACCACCCACUUUAAGCAAAAUAGAUUUAUAUAAGAUUUAAGCGCACUUUUAUCUUUCUCAUAUUUUAAUUUCUUAUUUUUAUAUUUUUCAUACUUCAAGAACUCUCUGACCACCCACUUUUCGUGUUUUAUUCUUUUGUACAGCUUUGCAUUAUUCCCUAACAGCUCCAGCUAAUAGCUAAAAAACUGGUACAACUUUAGCUUUAGGUUACCACUCAGACCCGUAAUAACUCAUUAUGACUAAGAUUUAAGCGCACUUUUAUCUUUCUCAUAUUUUAAUUUCUUAUUUUUAUAUUUUUCAUACUUCAAUAACUCUUUGACCACCCACUUUAAGCAAAAUAGAUGUACAUUUAUAUGAUUUGACUCUUAAAUCAACUCCAUAGUUUCACUUCACCACAAAAAAAAAUGAUAAACGAAUUUACUAACGAAAUUAUAAGAAUGAGAUAUUUAGUAUUUGUAGGCCUGGGCAUAUGGGUAACCCGUUCGGAUUCGGGUAAAACCCGUUCGGGUUCGGGUUGAAUGGGUAAUGAAUUUAUGGCCAUUCGGGUAUUCCUAUGAUUUCGGUUCCGGUCCGGUUCGGGUAUUGUCGGGUUCGGGUCGGUUUGGGUAAUACCCGAAGUUUAAAAUCACUUUACAUACUCAAAUGAUCAAAUAAGAGAAUAGAACAUCAAACAUGACAUUUAAAUACUAAAUUCAAUCCUAAAUAACAAAGAUGACUAUUUCGCUCUUAAGUGUUAAGAGUAGAUUCUAAUUAUCUAUAUACAUAUAUAAACUCAAAUGUCAAAAGUCACAAAACCUAAAACCUAGGACAUACAUAUAAGUAUAUAACUAUAUAAGACUAUAUAUCUAAUUAUCUAUAUACAUAUAUAAACAUGUGUAUUUCUUCGGGUUUGUGGGUACCCUAAAUGGGUAACGGGUAAUCCCCGACCCGACCCGAUACCCAUGGGUAAUCCAAUACUCUACCCAAUGAGAUAAUUUUUCUAAUACCCUAACCCGCUCCAACCCGAUUUUUUCGGUCCGGAUAUCGGUUCGGGUAUCGGAUCCGGGUUUUUUGCCCAGGCCUAAGUAUUUGUAAUUAUAAGAAUUGAGAGUGAAUGUGAUAUUGCACCAUUCACUUUCACGUAUCCUUGUGUAUGAUUGUUUCAUUUACUUCUCUAAUUGGCCUCACAUAAGAUUUGAUAUUGCACCAUUUACUUACACAUAUCCAUAUUUCAAAAAUUGUUUAGUAUGAAUAAAAAUUCUUAAGACCACCAUUAUCCAUGGGUUCUUAGCCAAAUCUUAAGCUAAGAUUUGUGAAGAAAAAGCUUAAAUAUAAACCUAAAAGCUCUUAUAUAAGACCUCUUUCUUCACAAAUCUUAGCUUAAGAUUUGGCUAAGAUUCAUCUAAGAGCCCAUGGAUAAGGGUGCUCUAAUAUGUGUACCAGAUAAACACACAAAUUAAUAACGUGUACGCACAUGUAAAACUCUCUUAACGACACAAUUCAUAAUAGAUUUGGCUAAAUGCAGGUCCCUAUAUGAUUAUGAGAUUUUUAAGUUGUGCUUGAUAUGUAAAUAGAUUUGAUUACGUGUUAUAAUAUUGAAAUAAGUUUAUCCUUAAUCAACGGAAUAUUUUUGAAUCGGGUUGUUUUAUAGAAUAAAUGAUUAUGAGAUUUUUAAGUUGUGCUUGAUAUGGAAAUAGAUUUGAUUACGUGUUAUAAUAUUGGAAUAAGUUUAUCCUUAAUCAACGGAAUAUUUUAGAAUCGGGUUGUUAUAUAGAAUAAAUGAUUAUGCGAAUUUUAAGUGGUGUUUGAUAUGGAAAUUGAUUUGAUUACAUGUUAUCUAAUUAAUUUUCUAUUGAAUGUUUGUAGAUAUGGAUCAUAAAGGCUUGAUAUUAAUAGUGGGCCAAUAAACAUAAAGCCCAUUAUGCAACCAAUCAAAGGUUCGUGUGUAUUACCGAAGUUCGCCCGUGAUCCGUCUCAUUUACCAGAUGGAUAUCCGAUUAAAUAUCCAGGAUCCGCGUCCUUUUGAAUCCCAAAUGUCAAUUAUACCCCUCGACGAAAUUUUUUGUUUUCACUUGAAAUACUAAAUUUGUAAUGGCAUUCCUUUGUAAUUUUUUACCUUUAUUGAGGUUAGUUAUUAAAAAAUGCUUCCCAAUUAAUAGAAUAGAUAAUAUAUAGUAAAAUGGAUUUUAAAGGAUAGAAAAAAAACAAUAAAAAUAAAAAUUAUUCAUAAUAAUAAAAAGAAAGAAAAUGUGAAAACUUAAAGUGGUGGAAAAUUGUAUAAUUAUUUUUAAAACCAUUAAAUCCCUCUGACAUUUAUUUAUUUUUUUCUCUUUUUUAACUGUAGCCAACGAGAUCAAUGUACUGUAGUUGACGAAAACGUAACUAAUUCGUACACAGUCCAAUCAAAUUCUAACCAGACGUACACGACUACAGUUUUAUUCAUGGGCAUUUUCAUCCGAAAUGAUGUAAAUGGCUAAACUGUGAAAAUUGAAGCUGAUGGUUAAAAAACAUGACUGCUGGCUCUGGCCUGAAAUUUACCCUUCCAAACCCUCAUGUGGAUUGGGAUCAGAUUCUUCUUUGGUAAUUAUCAUUCUCGUCAAAUGUUGUAACCUCUCUUACCUUUCUUCAAGGUUGGAAAACUUGUCUCUAUGAGAUAUGGAAUGAGCAGAACCGUCACUACCACAUUGGAAUCACUCUUCCUCGCUCAAUCAUUCUUCUCAAAAUAGACUUGGAGAUCAAGAACAAAACAACCGCCUUAAAGAAUUUGAGAUCAAAGCAUGGUGAAGCUUUGGUUCUCUUCUGGUCUACACGAUGAGUUACCUCUUGUGUAUCCAAUAGCGGAUCGAGAAUUAUUUUUACCCAGGUCACAGUGUAUCUGUCUCUUGUACGAUUGAGUGUGCGUGUCUCACUCCUUUGUCCUCUGCCACUCCCUUUCUGGUGAUUCUGUUCUUUUAUUUUCUUUCGCUGGAUUUUAUUUGAUUUCAUGUAUUUUUUCUACUUUAAUCUAAGGUCUUAUAAAAAUAAAAAUAAAAACAAAAACAUUGCAACUACAGUAAAACCUCUAUAAAUUAAUAAUGUCGGGACUAGCAAAUUUUAUUAAUUUAGAGAAGUAUUAAUUUAUCGAUAAAUUAAUAAUUAUUAAUUUAUAGAGAGAUUUUACUAAUUUUAUAAUUUCUUAAAAACAUUUCUAUCUAAAAUAAUUUUUUUUCUUUAUAAGUAAUAUUUUUAAAAAACUAAUUACAAAUAGAGAAGCAAUUAUUAAGUUUAAAAAACAACACAAAUUUUUUCGAAUAAUAGAGUCAUAUUUUAUUAAAUUUUUGACAUAGAAUAUUUUAAAUAUAUAUCAUAGUAAUUCAAAUAUGACAUAUAUAAAUUUAUAUCAUAUAUAUAUAUAUAUAUAUAUAUAUUGAUAAGUUUAUACAAUUAUUAAUUUAUGAUAUCGAUUGGACCAUAUGUUUAUAUGAGAUUUUCAAAAAAAUUAUUAUCUUAUUAAUUUAUCGAUUUAAGUCAUAUUUUACACUGGUCCCAACUCGGGACCGGAAGAAUUUAUUAAUUUAGAGAGGUUUGUAUGUCUUUUCCAUAUACUUUUGGAUCAACUUUGUCGUCGAUUGCUUCCUCGUCAACUUUGUUGUCGUCUAUUGCAAGUAUUUUUAUCUUCCAAAGGCUAGAAUCUCAUAUAAGACUUAUCCAACCUAAAACAUGCCUUGAGGUUGUUCCAUGUUUGAUCGGUCAUCUUCUUCUUUCCUGAUUAAAAAACUCAAUCAAGGACACUCACAAACAAAAAUAGACGUUUGAGAAUCACAACAUGUUGCUUUGCUGAAUAUCUGUAACACCCCGUUUUCAAAAAUAUGGUGGUGCAUGCGGAGAGGUUUAAAAGAAUUGAUUUGGCUACUUAUGUCACCAAAGUGCACUUAUCUUUUCGGUCAACUGUCCUGAAAGAACUCCACAGUUAAUAGUGUUUGAGCUAAAGCAAUUUCAGGAUGGGUGAUCUUCCGGGAAGUGAUUAUCGGAACUGUGUGGGUGAGGACAAAACAUAGAAAAAGAUUAUGUGGUGAUUUGUAGGGUUGGUAACAAGUCUUUAAAGCCUCCCAGAUGUAGCGGACCGGCCAUCAGAAGAUGGUGGGCCCAUGGACCUAGAGAGAACGUGGGCCCAUGGACCUAGAGAUGACGUAGGAUCCAUUAAUAGAGAUGGCGGUCAGGGCGUUACAAUAUCACUCGUAAAUCUUUCCUCAUCAAUGUUCUUAUCUCAAAAUCUAGAUCAGUAUUAACUAAAAUUUACGAAUGCAACACUAUUUACCGAUAUUUCCUUGUUUGCUAAACUAGCAACUAUAAACUCACAUCUCGUCAGGCUUAUCCUUAUAUUUUUCACCAAUCUUCUUGAUGAAGUUUUACAAAUCCUAACAUCUCUCGUAGAUACAAGAAGAUGAAGAUGAAUAACACUAUUUGUACAUUCAAUUUAAUUCUAAACCAAAUUAUAACUCCUAUGCGUACAUCACCUAGUCGUAUUUGUUCUUACUAAAUUAGGUGUGUGAUAACUAUUGAUUGUCAGAGAAAGAAAAAUAAUAGUAAAAAUUGUUAUAGAAAUAGAAAAGUCAGGAAGUUGCAUCAAUAGGCAUUUUUUUUUUCAUUUUUUUUACAUUGGCGUAAAUAGUUUGGGAUUUUAUGAUCUCUCUGCCUCCUCUCUGUCAAACCUUUGAAGGAUUUUUUUUUCUUGUUUGUCGGAAAAACUGUCCGGCAAUUCUUGUAGCAACGACAAAAUAGAGAGGUAUGAUUCUUAUCAAUUCUUUAUUUCAAUUUGUUUUCAAUUUGAAAAUUCUUUUUCAUUUGUUUUUUUUUUUUUUUUAAUCCAUUUAGAUCCUGGGAUCAAAACCAAUCAUCUAUACUAUUUUUCGCCCCGGAGGAGGUAGUUGAAGAAACGUUCUGGAUAAAAAGGGUAAUUUUACAAAUAAAUUAUGCAUUUCUUUUCUUUAGAUAUAUUUUAGAAAAGAGUUAAAAUUUUCGAAGUCUUACGUUCAGAUGUGUUUCAGAAAUGUGUUACAAUCACCAAUUCAUGCAUAGACGUGGGAUUUGGAAGAACUAUAUAAACCUUAAAACAAAUAACAAAAUAAGUUUUUUAUUUAUUUAUAAGAAACUACAUGUUUUUCUUUCAGUAUCUUAUCUUUUGAAGUUUUCUUGUACGCAGAGAAGAGAAUAUGGCAAAGGCCCCCUCCUCAACGAAUCAGGAAGAGACACCUUCCUUGUCUUCUCCUCGACUGAGGUAUUGAUCUGUUUCCGAUACAUCUACUUUGAUCAUUCAUUUGCAUUGCUCUCUCUAAUUGAGGGCUUUUGGGAGCAGGGACCACAAUAAAACAAUGACGUCCGAGAUAGAUGAUCCGGAGAAAGCAGCGGUUACAAUCACACGUCUCAUCGAGCAGCUUCAUGCCAAGAAAUCAUCGGCGCAAGAGAAAGAGCUUAGCACCGCUCGGCUUCUUGGUUUAGCCAAGGGUAAAAAAGAAUCUAGAAAGAUCAUUAGCCAGAACGUGAACGCCAUGCCUGCCUUUAUAUCACUUCUCAGGAAUGGAACCCUCUUGGCAAAACUCAAUUCCGCUUCAGUCCUGACCGUUCUAUGCAAAGACAAAAACGUUCGUUCUAAAGUACUGAUAGGCGGAUGCAUCCCGCCGUUGUUGUCACUUUUGAAAUCUGACUCGGUGGAUGCAAGAAGAGCUGCGGCCGAGGCCAUAUAUGAAGUUUCCUUGUGUGGACUGGAUGGUGAUAGUGUAGGUACUAAAAUAUUUGUCACAGAAGGCGUGGUACCGAAUUUGUGGGAUCAGUUAAAGACGAAGAAAAAGCAGGACAAGACAGUGGAAGGACAUUUGGUUGGGGCUUUGAGAAAUCUUUGCGGUGAUAGAGACGGGUUUUGGGCAAUUACACUUGAAGAUGGUGGAGUCGAUAUCAUCUUAAAGCUUCUACAGUCUAGUAACCCGGUAUCUCAAUCAAACGCAGCUUCUCUCUUAGCCCGUCUUAUUAGGAUUUUCACUAGUAGCAUCUCAAAAAUAGUAGAGUCAGGUGCUGUGCAAGUUCUGGUUCCGCUUCUAGGUGAGGAAAACAGCGUUUUCGUACGUGCCAGUGUAGUCAAUGCUAUAGAAGCCAUCAUAUCAGCUAAAAUUGUGGCAAGAGAUUUGGAUGGGAUCCACCUUCUGAUUAGCACAGUGGUUGCUUCGUCUAAAGAGUCAGUGGAUGAGGAAACUGAACGCGUCUUACAAAGUUAUGGGACACAAGCUUUAGCAAACUUAUGCGGAGGAAUGUCUGGUUUGAUAGUGUAUCUUGGACGGCUAUCUUUGUCUCCACGCCUCACUGAGCCCAUCGCUGAUAUUCUUGGAGCUGUUGCUUAUGCUCUGAGGAAGUUUCAGCUAAGUUGUGGUGAUGCUAGAGAAACUUUUGAUCCAACACUAACAGAAGGAAUACUAGUGAAACUACUGAAGCCCCGGGAUACUCAAUUGAUCCAAGAACGUAUCUUGGAGGCUAUGGCAAGUCUAUACGGAAACGCUGAUCUAUCAAAAUUACUCAACAAUGUGGAGGCUAAGAGGGUUUUAGUUGGUCUAACAAUCUUGGCCACAGCUGGUCCACGCGAGCGGAUGAUAACUUGUUUGUCAAAUUUAUGCAAACAUGGGAAUGUUUGGGAUGCUAUUGGGAAGAGAGAAGGAAUCCAAAUCCUCAUACCGUAUCUUGGGUUGUCCAGCGAACAACAUCAAGAACUGUCUGUUGAGUUCUUAGCGAUCUUGACUGACAAGGUCGAAGAAAGUAGAUGGGCUGUUACUUCUGCAGGCGGAAUUCCUCCAUUAUUACAGAUACUAGAGACUGGUGUGUCUCAAAAAGCAAAGGAGGAUGCGGUCCGUGUAAUUUGGAACCUAUGUUGUCACAGCGAGGAAAUUCGUCUAUGUGUGGAGAAAGCAGGAGCUAUUCCCGCACUUUUAGGGCUUCUAAAGAACGGUGGACCAAAAUCCCAAGAGAGCUCAGCAAAUACGCUUUUGAAACUGAUUAAAACAGCUGAUCCAAGAGUUAUCGAGCAAGUACAGGCUUUGUUUCUUGGAGAUGCUCCUAAAUCAAAGGCUCAUUUGAUAAGAGUUCUAGGCCAUGUUCUUGCAUCGGCUUCUUUGGAGGAUUUUGUCACCAAGGGUUCUGCAGCUAAUAAUGGAUUGAGGUCUCUUGUCCAGAGACUUGCCUCUUCAAACGAGAAGAUGAAAGAGAACGCAGCUUCUGUCUUGGCUGAUCUAUUCAGUUCAAGAAAUGACCUUUGUGGCGGUCUUGGAUUUGAUGAGGAUGAUAAUCCGUGCACAAAGCUUUUAAGCGGAAACACUCACGCUGUUGCAACGCAGUUAGCGCAUGCCCUGGGCUCUCUAUCCAAUCCAACAAAGAAAAAAACUGGCCCAAAGAAGUUAUCCGGUCCAGAAGUCGAAGUGAUCAAACCAUUGAUAAAGUCAGCAAAAACAAACCCAAUCGAGUCAACAGAGAAUCCCAUGUCCACUCUUGCGAACCUUCUUUCUGACCCAAAUGUUGCAGCCGAAGCGUUAAAUGAUGAUGUUGUUUCUGCUUUGACUAGAGUACUGAGAGAAGGAACACUGCAAGGUAAGAGAAAUGCUUCACAUGCUCUUCAUCAAUUACUGAAGCAUUUCCAGGUCAGUGAUGUGUUCAAAGGAAACGACCAAUGUCGAUUUGCUGUUUCUGAACUCAUUGAUCUCUUAAACGCAACUGACCUGAACAAUAGCGCUUUCAUCGACGUCUUAGAAGUACUCUCUUUACUAGCCAAAGCUAAAUAUGGUGCUAACUUGUCCCAUAACCCCUUUUCUGCAUUCGCUGGAGUUCCUUCAAAUUUAGACUCUCUUGUCCGCGGUGUGGCUGAAGGUCAUCCAUUGGUGCAAGAUAAAGCAAUAGAGAUUUUGUCUCGCUUCUGCAAGACACAGUUUGUCUUGUUAGGUCAACUUUUGGUGACACAAUCAAAAUCAAUUUCUUCAUUGGCUAACAGAACAAUCAACUCAUCAAGUCCUGAAAUAAAAGUCGGAGGGGCUAUGCUGCUUGUGUGUGCAGCAAAGAACGAUAAGAAAUUAUGGGCGGAAGCAAUUGAACGAACAGGGUAUUUGAAAAGCUUAGUAAACACUCUUCUUGAUAUGUCAAAGCAGAACUCUAAAUGUGCUUCAUAUGGAAUUGAAAUUCAAAGACCAAGAUCUUUCAUUACAAUCAAUUUGUGCUUACGGAUGGAUGACUCCGAAAUGGUUGAUCCAGUUACUGUCUUGGGAAGCACCGUCUCAAUGUGGUUACUCUCCAUUAUUUGCUCUUCUCAUCCUACGAACAGACUUGUUGUCAUGGAAGCCAAUGGACUUGAAAUUAUUGCAGAAAAGCUUCAAAGAAACAAGUCCAACACACAGGUAGAUAAGUAUACUUACUAGCUCUCUUUAGCUUUUUUUUUUUUUUCAAAUCCUGCAUCUGAGUCAUGAUCAUUAAUUUUGCAGGAGAAUACCUCAGAUUCCGAGGAAAAAUGGAUUGCUAUGUCAUUCUUAGCUGUUAUGUCUCAGGAACCAAAUGUUGUCUCAUCUCCAGCAACAGAAAAUCUUUUGCCAACACUAGCACCUUUCAUGCAAUCUGAUCAGAUGAUUGACGGAUAUUUUACUGCACAAGUGUUGGCAGGGUUAGUUCGUCAUAAGAAUGAUAGGAUCAUUUCAGAAAUCAUGAAUUCAGAUAUCGUAGAAACUACGAUAAACUUGGUAGGGUGUGCGGAAUCAGACACAGGGAGUUUUUGUGCCUUAGCAGAAGAGCUAUCUCUGGUACAAAAUCCUUUUGAGGCCACUUUAGCGGUACUCUUCGAAGAUGAAAGAGUAAGACGUGGUUCAUUUACCAAAAAAUGUAUUCCGUUGCUGGUGAAUCUUUUGAAGCCAUAUGCAGAUAAAGCUGGAGCCAUUCCAGUGGCUGUUCGGCUUCUUAGUCGUAUUGCAGAGUGUGGUGAUUCAAGUAAAUUACAUAUUGCUGAUGCUGGAGCUCUGGAUACUUUAGCGAAGUACCUUUCUUUGAGUCCUCAAGAUUCGACUGAGAUCAUUGUUUCUGAACUGUUAGAAUCACUCUUCCGCAGCCCAGAAAUCACACGGCACAAAACAGCUAUAAGUUCCAUGAAGCAGCUCAUAGGAAUUCUUAAUCUUGCUUCUCGAAGUACCCGCUACAAUGCUGCAAGGGUGCUCUGUGAACUUUUUAGCUCAGAGCACAUCAGAGAUUCCGAAUUAGCAUGGAAAGCACUUUCCCCUCUUAUUGAAAUGUUGAAUACAACAUUGGAGAGUGAGAGAGUGGCUGCUCUAACAGCUUUAGUGAAGCUAACUAUGGGAACAAGUCCAAGGUCAGAUAUUCUUACUAGUCUUGAAGGAAACCCAUUGGACAACAUUUACAAAAUUUUAUUUUCAGAUAGUUCCUCACUUGAAUUAAAGACAAGUGCUGCGAGGAUAUGUCGCUUUCUAUUCACCAGCGAAUGUUUGAGAACAAGCUCGUCCGCCGCAGGUUGCAUGGUUCCCCUUAUAUCUCUUGUCCGGUCAGGAACAAGCACAGGUAUAGAAGCCGGAAUGUUUGCACUUGACAGACUCUUGGAUAUCAAAAGAUUCUCAGAGGUCGCCGAAGAAUAUGAUUGUGUGAAUCUGUUCUUCGGCUUUGUGGCUUCCGAAAACUAUCUAAUCAGUGAGGCUGCAAUUUAUUGUCUUAUGAAAAUGGCUAAAGACAACACUCCCCGUAAAAUGGAUCUGAUUAAAAUGGGGAUAAUCGAGAAAUGCCUUGGUCAACUCUCCAGAUCUCCUCCAAGUUCUUUGUGUUCUGUAAUCGCAGAGUUUUUCAGAGUUUUGACGAACGUUGGUGUUGUAGCUAGAAGCCAAGAGGCUAUAAAAAUGGUACAACCGCUUCUCUUAAUUUUGCUUAGACAAGACUUGGAUUUUCAAGGCCAACUCGGUGGUUUACAAGCUAUAGCAAACAUCUUGGAGAAGCCAAUGGUUCUUGAAUCAUUAAAAAUUGCAUCAUCCGCAAUUAUUAUGCCUUUGAUACCACUGCUUGAAUCUGAAUCUAUAGCGGUCCAAAAUGCAACCACAGAACUACUGACCUCUCUACUCGAAAUGCAACGUUUCCAAGAAGAGAUAACGACCAAAAAUCUCAUCCCUCCUCUUGUGAAACUUGUCGGGAUCAGGGUAAGAAACUUACAAGAGAUAGCAGUGAUGGGUUUAGAGAAAUCCUCAGUUACAUGGACAAAGGAGGUAGCAGAUGCCGGAGGAAUUCAAGAGCUGUCCAAGGUUAUUAUCGACGAAGAUCCUCUGCUUCCUGUAUAUCUAUGGGAAUCAGCAGCUUUCAUUCUCUGCAACAUUCUCAGAUUCAACCCAGAACACUAUUACUUUUCAGUGACUAUACCAGUUUUAUCAAAAAUGUUGUUCUCAACAGCUGAGAGCACAGUGAUCUUAGCCAUCGACACAUUGAUCAUCUGUGCAAAUCAAGAAUCCUCAAGUGUUCAAGAGAUGGCAGAAGCCGGUGCACUCGACGCAUUACUAGAUCUACUAAGAUCCCACCAUUGCGAAGAACUCUCCGCAAGAUUACUCGAAUUAAUACUACGCAAUCCAAAAGUUAGAGAGACAAAGAUAUGCCAGUUUGUACUAACCCCUUUAUCUGAGUACAUACUUGACCCAGACACAGUAUCAGAAUCCGCAAAAAUUCUCAUAGCAAUGGCUCUAGGUGACAUCUCUCAACACGAAGGACUCGCUAAAGCCACAGACUCGCCCGUGGCAUGUCGUGCGUUAAUCAGCUUGCUCGAGGAGGAACCGAGCGAGGAAAUGCAAAUGGUUGUGAUGCGUGCUUUGGGAAACUUCGCAAUGCAUAGUAGAACAAGUCGUAAAGCUAUGGCUGAAGCUGGUGGAGUAUAUUGGGUUCAAGAAAUGCUUAAAUCUUGUAAUCCACAAGUUUCUACACAAGCAGCUCUAAUUAUCAAAUCUCUCUUCUCUAAUCAUACACUUCAAGAAUACGUCUCCGGCGAAAUCAUCAAAUCUCUAACAAGUAAGUUCCGAUUCCGAAUUCAAAAUUUAUGAUCGGAGAAAUCAAACACUCACCGAUUUUAAUGCAGAUGCGAUGGAGAGAGAGUUUUGGACAACGGCGGCGAUGAACGUGGAAAUAGUAAGAACGCUAAACGCGAUUCUCACAACGUUUCCCAAACUCCGUUCGUCGGAAGCGGCUACCGCUUGUAUCCCUCACUUAAUCGGAGCUCUGAAAUCCGGCGAGCAAGAAGCGAGAGAUUCGGCGAUGGAUACGAUAUACACGUUACGACAGUCGUGGAUAACUAUGCCGACGGAGACGGCGAGAUCUCAAGCAGUUUUAGCGGCGGAGGCGAUUCCGGUUUUGCAAUUGAUGAUGAAAUCGAAAUCGAAAUCUCCAGCUCCGUCGAGCUUCCAUGAGAGAGGUAACAGUCUCUUGAAUUGUUUGCCGGGAAGUCUCACGGUGGCGAUUAAACGCGGUGAUAAUCUGAAACGGUCUAACGCGUUUUGCAGAUUAAUCAUCGAUAAUUGUCCCACAAAGAAAACCAAGGUAAUGUAAUUUCGGUUUAAUCCGGUUCUAAGCAAUUCGGUGCAAAUUAAUCCGAUUUUAACCGGUAUUAGUUCAAUUCAAUACGGUGCAAUUCAGUUUUCGAUUAUAAGUUGAUUAAACCGGUUUUGGUUCAGGUUGUGAAACGAAGCAGCUCACCGGUUUGGAAAGAAUCAUUUACAUGGGACUUUGCUAGUCCUCCAAGAGGACAGUUUCUUGAAAUCGUCUGCAAAUCUAACAACAUCUUUCGAAACGUACGUAGAUUUAUCGUUGUUUUAUUAUUCGAAUCUUUCGCAGAAUCGGUAACUUUGUUAAAUUUUGCAGAAAAAUCUUGGUAAAGUGAGGAUACCAAUUGACAAAGUAUUGACAGAAGGAAGUUACAGUGGAAUUUUCAAGCUAAAUGAUGAAAGCAAGAAAGAUGACUCGUCUGAUAGAAGUCUAGAAAUUGAGAUUGUUUGGUCUAAUCAGUCAUUUUAAUUAAUCCAUAAAGCGCUAAUGAUCAUCUUUCUUACUGUAAAAAAUGUUUUAUUAUAUGGUCUUAAAUUGUUUAUAUGUAAAUUCUAAACUUUAAAGAGUUAUUAUAGUUGUGAUGGUGUCAUGUUUUGGGAAGCUUAUUGCAAUUUGAAGAAACCCAUCCGAGUUGUUGUUUCUCGUUGUCGUAGAUCACCAUUAGCCCUUGCAUAGAGAUAUCUUUAAAAGAAAACAGACGAAAGAAACAAAAUUAGUUUAAGACAAUAACAUUAUUGUUAAAGUGUUGAUGUUGUUUGUUUGUUCGUCUUACCUCCGAUUACGUUGGAGUUUUGUAAUCCUACUUCACUUCCAUUUAGUAGUCCCAAGCAGGCAUUACCAGUUUUCUGAAGAAAAGAAUAAGAAUUCAUGAUUGAGUAUUUUGAAUGUGAUGAUGAGAGUUUUUUUUGGUUCUACUGACAUUUUCUUACAGAGAUGAUGAGAUAAGAUUCGGGUGGAAUCUGGAGCUGAGUGAUUCUUCUGGCAUUGGUAAAGUUAAUUGUUAUGGUCUUGAAGAAGUUCUUAAACUCAAGAACAGAUUUGAAGAAAGUAUAAUCUCUCUGAAGCCGAUCGCGGCAAAUAUGAAAGAAGAAAGUAUACUCUGGUGAUAAUAAUGGUGUCCAGGCCACACCAAGGGUAGGAAUGAGAGUGUCUCCAAAGAACAAAUAGCCUCCACCUUUAGAACUUAGGCAAUGUCCAACCACAUUUCUCGUUAGUCCCGCGGCUACAAGCUGUGGCAAGACACCAAUUUUCCCUCUCCCAAGCCCCAAAACUCCAGCAGUCGCGGGCGGAGGAUGUGCUUUAGGUAAAAUCUGAUCAUAACCACACCUGAAAACACAAGUUUCCUUAAGAAUUAACAUUUUCAUCAUCUCAGGAUUCACAUGUCUGUUUUAUAGCUCACCCGAAUGCUAAACGAGGUUGCAUGGCCGAGCCAUUUAGGAGUUUUAAAGGAAACUGAUCAAUAACAAGUGCACCCAUUGAUGAACCUUGAUCAGCAUAAUUAACUUCAUAGUCACAUUGUUCUUUCGGGUUUGGACAUUGAGGCUUGUUAGGAAAGUGAAGUGCUAAACAAAUCGGGUCUAAGCACGGGACAGUGUUUCCUUUAGGCUUGUACUGACGUAUAGGAGGCUACAAAAACAACAAAACAGUGAUCAUAAGAAGCAGAGAAUCCAAUCAAGUUUCAUUUCGAAAACAGAGAGAAUAUACAUACCAAAGUACAACCAGUGCAAGGAGCAUCGCAUUGAACCCAAGUGAGAUCACUACCAGUAUCAAUAUCAAAUUCAAAUGCCUUUGGAGGGGUUCCUAUUUGAAGUAAGACAGAGUAGUAUCUACAAAGACAGAACAAAAACAGAGUAAAAAUAUCGAAACAUUGUUUUUUGUUUUGUUAACAAGAUAGAGAAAACAUUGAUGUUCCUACCCGAGAGGGAAGACGUUGCCGGAGAGAGGGAGGACGACUGAGGAAAGAGGAGAUUUGGGAGAGAGAUUACUGGGGAAGGUUUUGAAGACGGAAGAUUUUGAUUGAGAAACUAUGACCAAGAACAAGAACAGAAGAAGAGAGAAUCUUGAAUUCAUCUUGAUCUUUGUUACUUGCACAACAAACAAUAAAAGAAUCCACAAACAGAUGAAGAUGAGAUCUGAUUAUAAGAGAUAUGGUCAAUAUAUACGAAUGUUGUAAACGUCAAUGGUCAUGAUGAUCUAAGUCAUAUUUAAUAUAUUUCCUUAACAAGAAAACAAAAUACAGUAAGACAUUAAUUCUUUUUUGAGAAAUUAGGCUGUAUGACCAUAAAUUUUUUUUAAUAAUUCAAUAACUAACCUAAAAAAAAGUUGACUACAAUAUAUUCUGUGUAUAACAUGUAAUAUAUACUAUCUUUUGUUCACAUGUCAUAUAUUUUUCUAUCUAUUUUUAUUUUUUUCUUUCUUGAUAUCACUACAUCCCAUAGUUACUUAGGUCAUCUCCAAGGCAACGGUAAAACUGCAUUUUAAAGUGAUGCAGUCCACUUUUUCACUCCAACCCAACUGUAAAUAUUACACUAUAAUAGUGUGAUUCCUUUAUUUUGUACAGUACUCCACUAUAUUUGGUGUGUUACUGUAGCAACGGUAAAAAUAAAAUAUUAAUUUUUUACAUUAACAUUAUUAUUUAGUUAUAGUAUACUAAAUAUGAUUUGUCUUGUAAUUGAAUAAUCUUACUAAAUUUUGUAAGUAAAAAAACAAUGUAUCAAAACCAUAUAUUUUUUAUUUUUAUUUUUGAUAAUAUGCAAUAUAAAUCAGUAGAAAAUAUUAAAACAACAACAAAAAAUUGAUUGAAAAAUACAUAAUAAAAUUCAAUUAACCAUGGAAAACAUAAACUUAUAAAAUUAAAAGCUAUUUUUGAUAUUUCGAUUGUAAUUUUAUAUUAAUUAAUAAAUUAAAAAUAUUACAAAUAAAAGACAUCUUUAGUUUAAUAAUAUAAUAAUAGAACAUGUUAUUUUUAGUGUGAUAUUUAGAGCAGGUUUAUCGGUGAUAUCUUAGAGAUAUCUUAGGGGAAAAAAUUAUUAAAUUUAAUGAAUUGAUCAAACAAAUGCUAAGAUGUAUAUCUUAUUUAAGAUGUUUUUGAUGAGUUUAGAUAUGAGCACGUGUCCUGCUCUGAUUAGUUUGAAGAAAGAACAAAACCAAAAAAAAAACUCCUCGUUUUUUUAUUUCUCUCUCGACUUCUCUCUCUUUUCCUCGAAACCAAAACGGCGAUAUCCUAUGAGGCUGUUGAUCUGACGAAUUGAGAGGAGAAAUGAGAUGGAAUUGCGUGUUUCAUCUCACGUAAUCAGAGCUUUUCGGUGGCGUCUCUCUAUCCCUGCAAUUCUCGAAGCUUCCGCCGGAGAAAUCGAGCCGACUCGUCUUCAUCCGUCGAACUGAGAGGAGAAAUGAGUGGGGAUUGCGUUUUUGAUCCGUCGGUAUCAUGAUCUACAUGAGAAAGGGUACGAAUCUCUCUAAUUUCUCUCUGAUUUCAUUAGUACAUCGUAAAUUAGGGUUUUCACAAUUGGGAGAGAAAUUGGUAGCAAAAUUAGUAUUCUAUGAUGUUAGGGUUCUUUAACUGAUUGUGAUUUGCUUUUCUGUCCAGCCACCUGGAAAAAGAAAUGCCUUUGUGCUUCAUAAAUUUAAGAAAUUGGUUAGAAAAGGUUCAGAUAAAAACAUAUUUUAAUACUAUGACCAUAUAUCGUUUUAGUUGUAAUAUUAUGUCAUUGCCUAAUUGAAAUUUUUACUUUGAAGGAUAAUUUCAACUCACUGGUCAACGUAGCAACAUAAGUUGAAGUGGAAACCAUAUCGUCAGUUAUGAACGAGGGUCUCUAAGAUUUUGCUUUCUUCUCUCCUUUGAUACAUGUAAGUACUUUGCAUUGUUUGGUAUAUUCUCUUGCAUCGUUUAUUUCUGUGCGGGUAUAAGCUUUGUUUAGUGCAGCAUACCUCAAUUAUGGCUAUAUCAUUGAACUUCUGAUUUUACAUGAUUUAGAUUUGUGUUUUUCCAAGUGUUUAUUUGGUGAUCUCUGCUCAAGUAGAAUACCUAAUCUAUCGCACAAAUAACAUGAGCCAAUGCUAAUAGUCUUUUUUUCAUAAGUUAAGUCUCAGUUUUCUAACGAAUGAAUCAAUGUUUGAAUGAACUUGUGUUUGUUUAAUUUUGGCAAAACAUAAUCAGUUGAUUGGUUUGGUCUGUUUGAAUGAGUUUUGCUUGAAAUAGAUAAAUGUCUCUGUUUUUGAUAAGUGUUCUCUGUUUUCAUUGCUUUGAUCCUUUCUACUCUUUUUGAUGAGGUUUAUUGGAGAAUUUGCCAUGAACAAAGUGAUGAGCUUACUGCAGCCAGAGUUGAAGUGCAGGAGAAACAAGUGGAGUUGCAGAGAAAUGUGAUAACAUGAAGCUUUUGGAAGAGAAAUGUGUGUAACUUGUAUUGUAAGUUAGUGUUUUGCAACAAUUUGAAUUUUUUAUCCUUAAGAACUCUUUGCUUCUUAACCAAUGGAGUAAAAAUUUGUUAAGAUAUUGUAUAACUUUUCUUAACUUACAAAUAGUGAAAUUUUUAUUUAAAAUAAGGUUAAGAUCCAAGUUUAAGAUCCUAACCGAUAAUCCUGCUCUUAGUGUUAUGGUUGGAGAAGGAAAAUAUUUUAGUGUCAAAUCUACACCAAAUAUAGUGUUAUUUGAGCACCAAAAUAGUGUUAUGGUUGGAGAUGCCCUUACUAUAUUUUCUUAUUUAGUAUUCCCUCUGUUUCGUUUUAGUUGUCGUUUAAUGUUUUUUCACACAAAUUAAGAAAAGCAUUAAAUUUUCUGUUUUACCCUUUAUUAAUAUCUAUUAUAAAUUUUUUCAUUGGCCAAAACAUUAAAACAAUAGAUAUAAUACUGGAAUUUUUACCAAAUAUUUGCAUUGAAAACCUAAAACGACAACUAUUACGAAACAAAAUUUAAGUCCUAAAACGACAACUAAAACGAAACGGAGGAGUAUGUUAUAUUCUUAAUUAUUUUUACAAAUAUGUAUAUUGAGCAAAAUCGUCAUUCUUUUUUUUUUAAGAGAAAAAUAUUAAUUAUAGAAUUAAGUGUACACUACAUGAUUUAUAUAUAUAGUUUCCCAAUAUAUCAUUAUUUUGCUUGUUUGGGAUGAAUAAAUAUAAAUAAUCUGGUGUAUUUUGAUUUCCCAAAAUUAAGAUGACUUUCCAAGCAAGAAGAAAAUUAAAUUAUGGGCAUAGGAAGAAGAAGCUUCGUAGAAAAAUAUUGGAGGACUUCCAACGCGGUUUCGACACGGUUAAGGGUUGUACUCUGGGGUUUUUGGUGAUUUUGACACUUGUAUAUUUAAAUAAAUUAAAUAAUGAACAAUUCAGAGCAGUUGUAUAUACUUAUAUUACAUGAGAAUUUAUCAUUCUUGGGCAAAUUAUCAUUAAACUACAAAAAUUUGUCACUUUUUUUUGGAACAAAUUUUUUAGUUACAAAGGAAAAAUAAGGUUUUAAUAUCAAGUUUCAUGACAUAACAUACAUUAAAAGGAAUUUGAGUCAAAUCAUGAUAGGGUAUAUGCAAGGAGACUUAAAUUCGGUAAAAUUGUUGCGAACUAUUUUAACAGAUUUCUCGACCACCAUUAGUAUUCUUCCCGGCUUGAGACCUCGGAAUUCUCUAGCACAUUUUUGGGUUUACGAAUGCGAGGGUGUCAUCUUUUGACUGCCAAAAGCCAUUUCAUGGCACAACAAUGAUGAUAAACAAAAAAAAAAGACACUUGAAAAUUUCAGAGAUGAAAAAAAAACACGUGAUUUUACUACAUGUCCCAUUUGAAAACUCUUAUCUUAGCCAUUCAAUAUUAGUAAUCCACUAUAUCACAGAGUAACUGGUUUCAAACUUCAAGAUCUCACUUUUGAAGACAGUCUCAAUAUUAGAUUCUCCCUCUGUUCAUGAAAGACUGAUGUUGUUUACCAAAAAAAAAAAAUUUUGAUAUUCUAAAGUUUUCACAUAUAUUAAAAAGCCAUCAUUGCUUUAUUAUUUGUCAAUUGUUUUUUUAAAUUAAACAUUUUUAAUAACUUUGAAACAAUAAUAAUAAUAUGAAAUAGUUAAUCAUUGAGUUUUGAAAUUAAUCACGAUAAAAAAAAAAAAAAAACUUAACAACUUUGGUUGACUUUUAUAUAUUUUUUUUAUCAACGACUUUUAUAAUUAAACCGGACUCAAAACCAAUUGUUAACCAAUAAUAAUUGAACUUAGCCAGACAAAUUGAUUCUAAAUCUGAACCACACCUUAACCAACUGUUUUACCUCAAGUUCAAUCGUUAUUUGUCACACUUUGGUCAACAACCCCCUUUAAAUGAUACCUAAUGAAUAAAUGAAACCAAGUACUCCCUUUGUUUCAUUUUAUUUGUAGUUUAAAAGUUUUUCAUAUAAAUUAAGAAAGUACAAAAAUCUCAUUUAAUUUAUCUCUUUUUUAUAAAAACAUCAUUAACUACAAGUAAUUCAACCAAUAAAAAAAUAUGCAGUAAAAUAUAAUUGGUCAAAAACUAUUAAAUCCAUUAAACUUUUGCAUAGAAAAAUAAAAACAACACUUAUUUUACAAGAAAAACAAAUCCCUUAAAUUACAAAUGUAUUGAAACAGAGGGGGUAUAUUUUUUAAUCCCAAGAAAAAAAAAAACGUGGAAACUAAAAAUUAAGUAAAUGCAAAAGAUCAUCGAAAGCUUAAUCUAAAUUAAUCAUCAACCUAUGAUUUAAAUAGUUAUAAUUUUAUAUUUUAGCUAUUAGCAAGAUCUUCUUGAACGCGUAAAUCCUAUCAAGCCAGCACCAAAAUAAUAUUUCCAUAAAAAUGACUUGACAGUUUUAUUCAAUGAAUAGAAAUGGAAUAUUUAAAUUAAUCUUCCAUAUUAAUUAAGCAAACCGAUCUUAAUUUUCCAUUUAAAGAAUUAUAUCUACAUUUUCAAAAAGGUCAACUCCUAAUAUUUUGGACAUUAGUAAUAUUAUGUCAUACGUGAAUAUAUACUAGGAUAUAUUAUGACGACAGCGACAAGUUAUAUGAUUGAGAUGAAAUAAAUGUCCCCAAAAAAUUAAAAACGAAUCAACUUCUAAUAAUUAGAUGAGAGCGUUUCUUAUCUUGAUUCUUAGAUCUGUGCUCCGAUCCUAUCUGUUUCCGUCAAUGGCAAAAGAUUUGGUCUAAAAAAGGAAGUUACGAAACAGAAAACGUUUCAAUUCUCAUUCAUCUCCCAAAAACGUAUCUCUCUCUCUCUCUCUCUCUCUCUCUCUCUCUCUCUCUUUCUCUUUCUCUAUCUCCGCCGUGAAUGGCAACACAAGGGAUGGCUCAGCCGUCGGCGAAGAAAAGAAGCUUCCUCCUCCGUGAUAUCUUCAAACUUUGCCGAUCAAUCUCAAGGGUUUUUCCUCGUGACAAACCUAAACAUCAUCAUAAGGCUAAACACGAAACCAAACGUUUUGAUGAAGAACCUAAACGGAAUAAACCAAACGCCUUCGAUUUUCGGGUUAGUUUUCGAUGUUGUCAAUAAUUUGUUUUGAAUGAUUUUUGUUGAAUUUGGUAAAUAUUUUUUUCUAGGAAACAAAAGGGACGGGUAAUAAUAAUGUGGAAGGUGUCAGUCUUUGUAAGGUUCGUAGUUAUAGAUUUGACAACACCAAUACCAAUUUCGUGGGGAGCAAGAAAUCUCUUUCAAGAAGUUGUAGCCAGAACACAGCCACAGCCACCGGGGCCACGACGAAUCCGACAUUCCGGAGUUUAUCGUUUAUAGGGAGGAGCAAAAGCAGCAGCAAUAGGAUGACGGAAUCCGGUGGAUUUAUGCCGACACUUAUGAGAUCGACAACCACGGUUCCAAGAAGCUUUGCCAACCCGAUUUUGUAUUCGAGUUCAUCGGCCAAAGUGGCUAAACCGUCUCCAACAGAGAAGAAACUACGCUGUACGCUCGAGGAGCUAUGUAACGGAUGUACCAAGAAGAUCAAGAUCACAAGAGAUGUUAUUACUAGCUCAGGGUUUGUUUUCUUUCUUUACAAAAUACCUACCUUGGCAACGGAGUUUCGCGAAAAGAAGACUAACUAACCGAGUUUUUGUGGUUUAUAGGCAAAUGUGCGAGGAGGAAGAGACGGUGGAAAUAAAAGUGAAACCGGGAUGGAAAGGAGGGACGAAAGUAACAUUUGAAGGCAAAGGAAACGAAGCAAUGGGGAGUGUACCGGCUGAUUUGACAUUCGUGAUUGUUGAGAAAGAGCAUGAGGUGUUCAAAAGAGAAGGAGAUGACCUCGAAAUGGCGGUGGAAGUCUCUCUACUCGAAGCUUUAACGGGAUGCGAGCUCUCUGUUGCUUUACUUGAUGGUGACAAUAUGAGUUUGAGGAUAGAAGAUGUUAUUCACCCUGGAUAUGUUACAGUGGUUCAAGGCAAAGGAAUGCCAAAUCUAAAGGAGAAAGGGAAGAGAGGAGAUUUGAGAGUUCGGUUUCGGACUAAGUUCCCGCAACAUCUUACAGAUGAACAAAGGGCAGAGAUUCAUAGCAUUCUUCAAGUCUCUUCUUGAUUUGUUUGCUUAAGACUUUCUUUCCCUUUAUAGGGGAGCUUUUACAACAUGGUUUAGAUAAAAAUCCAAAGAGAUUUUUACUCUGUAUCAUCUUUGUUUGUAAACAACCAAGUUGAAAUGAAGAAACCGGUUUCCAUAAUCAACCGAAAACUUUUAUUUAUCGACUCCAAUAUUCAUCCCCACAAAACCAAAACAUAUAUAUUUGAAAACCAAUAGGUUCAUAUUUGAAAAACCAAGAAAAUAAGAUACAGGAGGAAAUGUCCCCGGCCUUUUACCGUUUAAGAUAAACCGAGAAGAGCUUUGAAUAUAUCGAAUAUAUUGCUAUCGACAAGGGCUUUUAACAAUCUAAGCUUUCCUCUCGAGUAAGGCGGAUACCUGACUGCUGAAUCACCGAAAAGGCUUCUGUAGAGAACAGCCUUCUUGUGACUAAAAGCAUCAAAUGAGAAUUUACCAUGGUAAGCACCCAUUCCACUUUCGCCAACUCCUCCGAAUGGCAAUGUGUGAAGUGCAAGCUGCAAAAUAAUAGAGCUUUAGUAUAAAAUGCUAUUUUUGGUAUGUAUUUAGCUUGUAUUGAUCAGAUAAGUCUAGUGUUUUCUUUACAUGAACAGCUAUGUCGUUCACCACUAUGCCUCCAGCGGAGACUGUCGUUGCAAAUCUCUCUUUCAGCUUCUUGUUAUGAGUAAACAAGUAUGCAGCAAGUGGCUUAGGUCGAGAGCGAAUCAUAUCAAAACUCUCUUCCAAGUUGUUGAGCUGUGAAGAACAAAAAUAGAUCAUCAAAUUUGCCUUCAAGAGAUGAAGUAGAGCUUAUAUAGAAUGGAAAAUUGUUCCUACCGUGAGAAUUGGAAGGAGAGGGCCAAAUAUUUUCUUCACUCAUGAUCAGAGAAUCUAAUGGUACGUCGAGCAAGAUUGUUGGAGCAAUUUUCCUGAAAAAUGGAGACAAAGGAUUAGCAUAAGUGAAAAAGGUGAUGAUGAUAAUAUAAAGAGAAGAAACUCACAGAUUUUCUCUGUCCUUUUCACCACCGUAGACGAUUUUGUCAGAAACUUCCUUCUCAUCUAACAGCUUAGACAAGCGAUCAAAGUGAGUCGAGUUUACGAUACGUGACAUAUCUUUCGACUCCAUAGGGUUCUUCCCAUAAAACGUCUCCAAUUCUUUCUUCAUGGCAUCAAUCUUCAAAAGAGAAAAGAGAAGUUUAUAUACAAAAAUGCAUCAAGAUUCUGAUCUUAAGUUCUUAACCUUACCACUUUUGGAGCAUAUUCUUUUGUCGUCAAGAUAUAGUCUGGCGAAAUGCACGCCUGUCCGUUGUUGCAACCCCAUUUGCCUGCGAUUAUCCGCCUCACAGUAACCUUCAAAAGACAAAAGGAGCAAAUUACAUCAACCACAGUACAAACAAAACACAUUGGAUGACUCUGGAUGAAGUAUUCACUAUUCAGUACUUUCAAAUCGGUAUCCGAGUCUACAACAACAGGCGAUUUUCCUCCAAGCUCCAGAACAACCGGUGUAAGACGCUUCGCAGCUGCCGCCAUUAUGACACGCCCAAUUUUUGAACUACCUAACCAAAAAAAUAGCAGGAAAUAUCACAUGUUAAUCCUCAUGUAUAAAACAUUUGAAAGGAAACACAUAAAGUCAAGUUAAUAAGAACCUGUGUAGAAUAUCUUGUCCCACUUCUGCUCCAGCAGAGCAGUUGUUUCAGUAACAGCUCCUUCGACAACUCGCACCACAGAAGAAUCAAGAUACUGUUCCAGUAACUUCGCAAGCAGAGCAGACGAAGCUGGAGCCAAUUCCGAUGGCUUCAAGACAACAGCAUUCCCAGCAGAAAUUGCACCAAUAACAUGAUCAAUAGACAACACUUGCAAAGAAACAAAAAAAAGUGUCACACUUCAUACACAAUGUAUCAUAACAUAAAGUGAAAAUUCAAUCAAUUAGGAACAUACGGAAGGGAUAGUUCCAAGCCGAGAUAACUAACACAACACCAAGAGGCUCAGACACAAUCUCGGCCGAUGCAGGAAACGUUGUUAGAGAAGUUUUGGCCUGAACCGAAAAACAGAACAACGAUUAGCAACUUAACAUAUAUAACAACAACAAACUCUUUUCAAAGCACACACCUUCUCCGGCGCCAUCCAGUUCUUUAGCUGCUUAAGAGCUAACUUGAUAGAGUUUCUCAGUAAAGAUACCUACAUAAUUAAUCAACCAUCAUAAUCAAAAUUAAACUAAUCUAAUACUAAUGAUUAAAGACAAAACCACUUAAAACAAGCCAAAGAAAUGGUUAGGAACAAAAACUAAGCAAACUUUACUCUUUAGUAAGCAAACUGUAAAAUUUAAUGUUAUAUGGUAGUUUAACAGUAGCAGAAGAAAAUUAAAUGAGGAUUUGCUUUCAAUAUAGGACCAAUAUUUUUAUAGUAUUGGUUCCUACAUAACAUAAAAUUACCUGCAUUCUAAGUUGAUAGAUACUACUCUUAACUUAUCAAAAAAGUUACAUUGAAGUUGUGUUGUACACGUGUCGACACAUAACAUCAUCGACGUUGCAACUAUGGUCAUAGACAAUAAUGAGACCGACCAAGUAGGGGGAUAUGUUAAUCCAAUUAUAGAGGUUUGGCUAAUGCGUUUAAGAGUCACUAAUUAAAGAAAUAUCACUAAGCAAAUUACGUCAGCCGCAAAUAUUACUUGCGAAAUCUGAUUCUGACUCAUAACCAUACCAAUAAUUGGGGUUUUAAUCAUAGAUUUAACAUCAAAUAUCCGGAUUUCGCUAAAACUCCUACUAAUCACAGAAGUGAUCAUGUUUUUAGUAAAUAAUGUUCCGCACACCCAUCACAUAUAGAACAUUCUAGCUAAAUAUUUUUUGGGGGUUAUCUAACUAACUAUAGAAGUCUCUGUGAAAGCAAUAAUUUAGUAAAAGUUUUCCAAAGUCCAACGAAUCACCAUUAACAAAACACCUGAACCGCUUAACGUUCAGAAAUUUCCGACCAACUUUUCUUGAUUACUUUUGUUGGUCAGAAAUUUCUUAUAAAACUCUUAUUCCAACGAAUUUCCAACUAAUCCAGUCGUCAAAAUAUCUUAUGUUUUUUCGUAGUUAACUACGAACUACAUCUACCUAACAACAAGUCUUAUCCCAUGGUUAACAUAUCUAAAGGGUUUCCCACAAACUUACUACGAAUAACCAAAUAACUAACCCUCACGCAAAAUUUCACACCCUAAAAUCGAACUUAUUUAGGACUAUUUUUCAUCUAAUACCACAAUGCCACCUUACAGAUUAAACCAUAACAAUAAAUUGAAUCUUCAAUCAAAAUUCAAAGAUUCAAACUAAAAAUUGACCAAUCACGAUCAAUUCUCUAAAAACUCGAAAAAACACAAUCUGAGGAAAGCGAGAGAUAAAGAGAAAAAGAAUCCUAACCUCAUAAACAGAAGAUUCAAGCUCAGGCUUCCCAAGAUCAUCGCGAAGAGCCGCGACGAUCUCAAGCUCAUAAUUAUCACAAAUAAUCAAAAGUUUCUUAAGCUGAGUCACUCUUCAUUAAUAACCACGAGUCACACCAUCAUCAAAACUCCGACUAAGACCCGUCACCAAAAUACUCGCAUCCGCCGCUCCAAACAUCUUCUUCGCCGCCAUUCCUCAAAACCUCUCUUUAGUGUUUUAAAAACGUACACAAAAAUAAAAAAAUUAUUAACACAGCAAUCACGGGAAAGAGAGAGAAGAGAGAAGAGAAAAAAUAUUGAGUUCGGAUCCCGAGAAAAACUGAUAUUGAUUUUGUUGAAUCAAGAAAAUAAAUAUUCUUUUCAUAGAGAUAUUGACGUUGCUCGUGCCAAAUAAGAAGUAAUAAUUUUUUUAAAAAAAGAAAAAAAAAGUGAUAAGUCUCUCACUUUUUUCCUCCAAAUUGAUAAUAAGAAAAAUCAUGCAUUACAAUAUUUAUAGAGAUGAAGAGACGUCAGAAAAGAGAAAAACAAAAGAAGAAUACCAAGAAAGCAAAUAAUUUAAUAACGACAAAGUAAGGAUAAAAUAUAUUUUUUUUCUAGAAAUUAUGAUUUAAAUAAUUUAUUAGAUAUUUAUGAGACGUAAAGACGUGAAAAAAAUCUAUACUAGUAUUUUUGCAACACUUUGGUGACGAGUGGGUAAAAAUGCUUCUGGGUUAAUCGGAUAUUCGACCCAUUUUUAAAAAUCCUUCACAAAAAAUUUGUUGGGUCGGGUUAUAUUUAACUCAACUCAUAUACCGGAUAUUCUAUAUUUAAUAAUUUAGAUAUUUAAAAGAUUUGUUUAAGAUUUAGAAUUAUGAUUCUCCUAUCAUCUUUGUUUAAUUUGUUUUUAACUGUUUUGAAUCAUCAUAUAAUACAUAAAGUAAAAAAAAAAAAUCAAUUUUUUUUCUACAUAUACUGUGAUUCGAAAUUUUAAAAAUGGACAUAUAUUAUCUAAUUGACGAAAAUGUGUGUUCAACGUUCUACAUCGAUUAAAAUAGACAAUUAUUCAGAAUCAUAACAUAAAUAAGAUCAACAUUAAUAAAAUAAAUGAGUCUUUUUGGCCGAACGGGUUUGGCGGGAUGAGUUUUUGAAUCAACAAUAAUAAAAAGAUUAAAAUAUCUUUAAUCCGCGCUUCAAUACGGAUUAAAUCCUUAUUUUUUUUAAUACCACCAAUAUUAGACAUAUUAAAUCAGUCUCAUUGAGAAAAGAUUGUAUAAAACCAAAAAUUGCCCGGUGGUAUAAUGUUACUUAAUAACAGUAUUUAUAAAAUUUUAAAUAUCAUUAACAUGCCGCUUUAAUACAUAUUAAAUCUUCAGUUUAUUAAAAUAUAAAUGUUUUCGAGAAUGGUAUGAUUUGUAAACUUUUAUAUAUAAUAAAUAAUCAUUAAAUUUUAAAAUAAAAACAAAUCACGGGACGGGUUAAAAAAUUACGGAACGAGUUAUAUUUCGGAAAGGAUUUAUAUGGCGAACGAAUUUGAAUCAAUAUUUAUAUACCGCUUUAAUACGGGUUAAAUUCUCAGUUUAUUAAUAAUUGUCUCUUGGACUCGUGGUAUACCGUUAUUUAAUAACAAUUGUAAACUAUAAUAUAUAUAAAUAUGUUAUAAGGAGAUACAAUUUACAAAAUAUUUUUAUACUAACUUUAAAAUUAAAUCAUCUCGCUGUGUACUGCGGGUUAAAAUCUAGUAAUCUAAUAACGAUAAUAAUAUAUUUUUUCAUAAUUUAAUAAGGACAAAAUAAGAAUAAAAUAUUAUUUUAAAAAGGUAAGGAAGAUAAUGAUUAUAAGUGAUGUAAGAGAAGAGAGGCGUGUGGGUAUUACUCGCGGAACAUAAGCGAACUCACAACUCACGUGUGAGUGCGUGUUUAAGACGUGAUAAAUGAGCGCGUGUGGUUUUGGGUUGGUGAGAGAAGUUACGAUUAGGCAAGAAGACUGGCCAAUAAUAUAUUGAUAUUAGGUAGUGUUGGGCCUGGGUCAAGGUUUUUUUUUUUUUUUUUUUUUUUUUAUUUUCUCAUCCGAAAUUAAUUAGAGUCAUUCAUGUGGAAUGUUGUUUACAUAAGUGAUAUGAAGCGGUUUUGUACGAACUUUUCGUGCCAGAUUAUCCGCCUUAACAUUAGCCUUACGAGAAAUUAAAGAUAAAGAAAAAGAUGAAAACUCCUCCUUGUCGCUCUGAAAUUCCUCCAAAUACACUGAAAACGCUGGCCAUUCGGUUGGAGAAGACACCAUCUUCACCAGGUCUGAACAGUCUGUAAAGAACGCUACCUCUUGAUUAUCUGCACCAAUCAUACACUUCAUCGCCCAGAGAAGGGCUUCGACUUCGGUAUGUAGUGGAGAUAGACUUCUACGGAGGUUCGCAGCUCCCAUGGUUGGAGGCUAUCCAUUUGACGAUGUACAGAACCAACCUGUACCGGAGAACUUAUCACUUUCUUUCCAUGAUCCAUCUACAAAACAACGGUAUCCCGAAUACUCCGUCUCAAGUGAAACAUCCUUCACUCGAAUUCGAUUUACCAAGUGCACAGAACCAUGAUUUUCAUUAUGGAGCUCAAUUUGAGCGGACUGCCACAAUUGUGCCUCUUUUUCCGCUAAUCGUAAUACUUCUAAUGGGUCUGUAUCUAUGUUUUCAAAGAUCUUUUCGUUCCUUGAUUUCCAAAUAUACCAAAUUAUCCAUGGGAAGGCUGAUGAAUCAACUUCCGUAGGUAUUCUCCAAAAUAAGUGAUCCAAAUUCGUAAAAUUAGAUUCUGUGGGAAAACCCCCAUAGCCGUAGGAAUCUGUGAUAGCGCCCAAAUCUGCCGUGCCGGGUGGCACUGAAAGAGUGUAUGAUUGAUCGUUUCCUCUGCUGCGCCACAUCUGGCACAACCCAUGUCACAAUCAAUUCCCCUUUUCCGCAACUUUUCCGUAACCGGUACACAUCCCGUUAAGAUUUGCCAUAUGAAAUGGCGUAUCUUAGGUGGACACUGCACUUGCCAAGAAUAUGCUUUUAACGGGUUGAUAUUAGGGCCAAAACAGUUUAAAUUGGUCUCCGACUUUUCCAUCCGUGUAGAAUGAUAUUAUCUACUUUAUAUGUUGGUGAGACCGGAAGAUUUUAGUAGAAGAAAAUAAAAUAGUUGUAUUACAAUUUUUAUUCCAAAUGUGUGUAUGUACCAAUAGAAAAAGAAUGGUUAAUUUAUCUUUUACUUUGAAUUAAUAGAAACUUCUUUUACAGAAUUGAAGUGUAAAUAUAUUUUCAAAAUUAGGGGUUUAAUUAAUAUUUUUAUACCACAUCUAAGUUUAAUUACUAGAAAUUACGAAUUAUGGCAUAUUAAUAGUCUCAGAAUUAAACCGUAAAUAUUUUCCAAAAUUAAGGGUUAACUAAUAUAUCUAAAUGAGAUCUAAGGUUCAAUUACUAUAAAUUAUGGUAGAUUAAUAGAACAAGACUUUAGAGAUUUUUAGCGUAAGGAGUAUAGUUGUUCAUUGUGAGUAAUGCGCAAGAGAACCAUUUAACGUAAAUUUUUUUGGUACGGAUAUAACUGUUAGGAGUCGUCCAUGAAAUAGAUCGUCAUUGAUCAUUUGUUAGACUAAAUUAAAAUGAUUUGUUAGCCUAAACUGAUCAUUUUUAAUAUGAUGUAAAUACACUAAAAAUAUCUUACAAUGAUAACGGGUCACUACUUGGUAACAGGUAUACUCAUAGACCUGUUACCGAGUCUCAGCAUGCCUUUUAUUUGUCGUUACGAAGAUACCUUUUUUGCUGUCUCUAAUUUUGGAUGAUUUUUUUGCCCCGCUUGUCUUUCAAGCUACCUACGUAGGGUGAUCCAAGAACGUGUUGUCAUCCCGCUUGCCCUGUGUACAAGAUAUAUUACCUGAAUCCAUCGUAUUUUGAAAUUGUAGUAGUUGAUCAUGAUUACGUGUUGAAUGACCCUCCGAACUUCUGGCUUCUAGAUUUAUAAGGAAAAGAACGCGACUUCUUAAAGGUUUGGAUUUUCUCUGGAACCACAAGUAUAACAUUAUGGUUGCUACCAUGGUUGUCUACUCAGCUCACAAAGAUCAGAAGUUUUACCAUGUAGUGAUUGAUUAUUUGCAGUAGUGGAAAGCCUGGCUCCAUGAGAAGUGCAAGCAUUUGAGAAGUGGAAGAAAUCACAUCACACAACCAUGAAGAUUUUGGGCAUACCUUAGUCUUGAUCUCUCUCUGUUUUACAAUGAACAAAAAUAAAAGAUUAAAUCUAUUAUCUUUCUAAAACAAUUUUAUUUAAUUUUUUAUUCUAAUUAGUUUCUCAAAUUUAGAUAUUUUGUGUAAAUUUGAUUUUCAAAAUAUAUUAUGCAUUAUUUGUGCAAUUGUAAGAUUUUGAAUAUUGAAAUAUGAUAGGUAGCAACUAUGAAUUUGCUCGGCUUCCAUACUUGUAUCUCUAGUUACCUUUUUCACGAAACUUUAUGUAUCUACGAUAUGGCAGAUAUGAACAUCUAGUUCACCGGCUUAUAAUUCUUCAUUUGUCCAUAAAGGACUGAAGCACUGAUUAUAUCACAAAGAACAAAAUCCCAAUGUACGAUAUGACACUUUUGCUUCCUUCUUUACCCGACAAUAUAGCCAUAUAUGAGCUAAGUUAUAGUUUCAUUCUUUGACAAUUUUUUUUGUAGACUGUCUUUUUGUAGUCCAAUACAUGUGCAUUUUGCCAUUAAAAUCAGUGAGCCUCAACUUCUCAUCUACCCUAUGUGUCUCCAGAACAAGUUUAAUAAAAAUUUAAUUAAUUCUUAUGAUCUUCAUAUUCCGUGUACAUAUGGUUUUUCAUAAAACAGUAAUAUUUUAAAUAUUGAAAUAUGAUAUGUUAAAAUUUAUUAAGUUUUUGAAUAUUACAGUUAUGAUAAGAUACCUUGUGUUUCAAUUAUACUUGCUAUUUGUUUGAAAACUGAAUUUUAGUGUUGCAAAUUUUCAGUUUAGUUGGAUUAUUAUUGUGAUUAGAAAUAUUACAAAAUAACUUAUUAUAAUUUUAUAACAUUUUAUUUUACUAUUGUAACAUUAAAUACAUGACUAAAUAUAGUUUGUAUCAUAUAUAUCUAUAAUCAUCAUCCAUUAAUUUUUACUAAUCAAUUUACCAUAUGCAACUAAGUUUACCGUUUUAUUUUAUAAUACAUCAUAUGUUGGAAUAGUAAUAAACAUUUCAUUCAUCAAUAACCAAAUGCAAGUUCAUGAACAGCAGUGGUCACGAAUAAUGGGCUACACACGUUCAAACACAUGUCUUUUUUUUGUUGUUCAUAAUUUCACAUCGUUCAAGCCCAUGUCUAUACCAAGAACGAGACAUAAAAAAUCAAAAGAAUCAAAAAAUAAUAUUUUCAGAGAACACAUACAAAUGUAUAUCAAAGCCACAAAACUAGGCUAAAGUGAGUACAUGACCGUACGUGGGUUAACAUGGAUAUGAUUGGUAGUUAGACCAUUGGGUAUAAGGUUGGAUUAGUGAAUUGUUUGAACAUUGCAUUAGUUUGAGUUACGAUAGACCUAAGCUAAGAUAUCUUAAAUGCAAUUCCUAUUAAGACGGAUAAAAGUGAUUAAUUGGAAUUGGGCAUUGUCACUGAUUAUGUUGACUCACAUAGUCACAUAUGAGUUCGGUUUAUAAAAAUCUGGACCUUUUUAUGAGAAUCUUAAAUCGGCAUGUGGAGAAUUGUGUAUAUGCAUGUUAUCCAUGUAUAUUUUGGUUUCUAUGGAAAAAUAGGAACCAUAUAUUGUUUUAAGAAAUUUUAUCGGAACUUUUCGAUGUUUAAAUCACGCACUAAGUGAAUAUUUAGCAUGAGAUAAUCAAAUAUGUUCAUUACUAAAUCAUUUGGAAACAGAGUUACUAAAUAGUGAUCCUUAGUCCUUAGUGUCAGAUCGAUGGUUAGUGAAAGUGUCCAGAUCCCAUUUUAGGCAUUACUUGGGUAUGCUCACAAGAGAUGAUAAAACAAUAGUUUUUGGAACAAAAUUUCAACGAAGGUGUUUCUCGUCACUAAACUCAAAAGAGAAGCUUUUAAUAUGGGUAAUGAAAACUAUUUUCAUUCGAAUGAUAGAUUAUCAGGUGUUUGAGAUAAAUCUUGUGCAGAAGUGAUAGAUUCUCAGGCGUUUGAUACAAAGUGUGCCUUUUUCAACCUUUUAGAUGAGAUUGGUUUUCUUUGAAAUAGUUUUCCUAAGCUUUCACUUUCGUUCAUCUCUCGCUCUUUAAACUUUAGUGUUGAUUUUUUAUCCAAACUUUAUUGUAUUUUUUUUGGGUCAAGGCUUUAUUGUAUUAAAUGUUUUUUUGCUCCUGAUAAUGCAACCAACAAUCAAAUUAUAUACUGAAAAAAAAUUUGAUGUGUCAUAAGAUUACAUGUAUUUAUAGAAAAGAUUUGAAGAAAAAGUUCAAUCUAAUCGCGAGUAACAUCAUUUAGGCCAAAAAUAUUAUCAGUAUAGAACAAAGCCCUUAUGCAAUCAAGGGAUAUGUAACAACAAGUCUUAAGAGCUGAAAGAUCAAAAUAAAUCAUGCUUCAAUCACCAAUGACAUUUCUUUUCAAAGUUUGAGAAUUCUACACAAAUCAAAUAUCUGACAUUUACAAAGGGUUAUUAGCAGCCAUUUAAGGUCACAAGGCUAGAGUGAAUGUCAAUAACAAUACUUAUGAAACAUCUAUUACACAUCUUGGUCAAAGCAAAUGUGAGCCUUAGCUUGAACAAUCUUCAAGCAGAUGUUACCUUCAAAUCACUUGAUCAGAUAUUCCCUCAAAGGAACUUAGAGCGCUGAUAACUGAUUCAUAUACUCCUAUUCCUUUCAUGAACACUGUAUCUUUAAGAAACUGAGGCCACAAGAAGAUGCUUAUAUCAUAAUUGUGAUUAAAUAUGUCAUUCAAAGAUGUCAAUAGAUAAUAUAAUCAUGCCAAUACCUCGUUAUGAUCAUGCACUAAGAUAGGAGUAUUGAUCAUUGGAGAGAAACCUAGAACUGGAAUUCCUAAAGUGCGAAUAAAGCGUGAAUCUGUACUUGAAAUCAAAAUUUCAGGUUUUGCAAGUUUUCCUCCAGUUGCUUCAAUAGCUUGCUUGAAGAUAGACCACCAAGGAUUAGAACCAUUUGUUAGAGUCAUUAUCGGUCGCCCUAACUGAUCUGCUAACUUUCCUUUCUCUUCUAUCUGGUGCAAUAAAAUUAAUUGGAUUAGUUUAGUUUUCUAUGUAAAGAAAUUAGUAUACAUGAAAAUUAUUCAAGGUACAUGAAUAAUGUGGAAUACUCAAAAGAAACAAAUCAAUUAAUAAUCUAAAGCCAUUAACAAUUUUUCAAAGUAGCUUACAUGUAUCUCGAACAUACGUUUUACUAAUGAUGAAAUGUUUUGCAUAGCCACAAAAUGCUUGGCACAUAUAUUUUUUCUCCACUGUAUAUACAAAACUAAUGCAGACCUCAAAACCACUUAGACAGAUUGAUGGCAGUAUAGAAUACCAAGAGCUAAAGAUUAUUAUAAUAACCAAAAAUGCUUGCCGGCCACUUUAUACAUUGUAGAGAUUAGAGGCAUAUUUAUUUUACCGUGUAGGUCAUGUUCCUAAUAGAAGGAGCCCAUUCCUCAGCAAUCCUUUUCUUCAUAGCAACAGGAUCUGCCAUUGGAGGCAACCUUAUAUCAUACCCAACUUCUGCCUCUGAAGGUUGCAUAUUCAUCACAAAUCCCUUAUAAAAAAAAAAAAAACACUCUUUAACAAAAUGUCUUAUAUAUGCAUUAAAAAAAAAAUUGCAUAUGAAAUCACCAGCUUAGAGCAUUUUCGAACACAUUCCUCUGUUUUCCACUCUAAAAAAUAAAUAAAUUCUUUCUCUACUUCAAUUUUUUAUUAAAAUAUCCUUUUUUUUAUAUCAAAAAUGUUAAUUUAACGUUUUUUUUUUUUUUUUUUUUUGUGCGAUUAACUGAUUUAUUUUAUUCAUUAAUCUAUAGAGUGAGUUUAGAAAGGAUUUUACUCUACAAUAAAGUGUAGAGAGAAAAAUAGAGUAGGAUUCGAGAUGAUCUUACGGUAGUGGAGGGAGUUCCAGCUUUAAGAUAAGCUGGAUUAACAGAGAUAACCUCCGAAUUCGCAGCUUUCCCCGCCUUGACCAAAUCAAAUUGCGUCUCCCUAAACUUAGAGAUCAACUCAACACUCUUCAUCAAAUUCUCCAUAGCUGAAUUAUCAUAAAGCUUAGCACCAUGCCCUGGAAUCCCCUCAGCUCGAAUAACGAGAUGCCAUGGAGUCCGUUCAGCGUAAAACACCCUAAACUCAUCUCCCGGACUCGCUUGUCCUUCAUCCAUAACAAAUCCCAAAUUCAACUCCCUAAACUCCAAAGACGCCGCAAAUUUCAUCAUCCCAUCGAAUCCACCGAUCUCUUCUUCAGGAACGUAAGAGAUAUGGAUCGUACGAAGAGGAACGAAGCCUCUUGAUUUCAAGUUCCUGAUUGCUUCUAGAUACUGAACUCCAAUACACUUGUCAUCUUGCGCGCCACGAGCGUAGAUAUGACCAUCCACUGUUCUCUGAGCUGAGAACGGUGGAUGUAUCCAUUUCUCGGAUUCCGCGGGAACAGAAUCGAGAUGAGAGUUGAAGAGAAUUGAAGGAAGGUUAAGGUUUGAGCCUAGCCAUGUGAGGAGAAGAACUGGCUUACCAUGAACAAACUCGAUGGUUCGAGAAGUGAGACCAAUGGAUCUAGCUUGAUCAAGAAGAAAAGAGAUUGGUGCUGUGUAGUUAGGGUUUGGAUGAGCGGUGUUGAAUCUUAAGUAUUGCUGGAACCGCGUGAUCGGUGUAUCUUCUUCUUCUUCACUGUAUGAUUGGAUCGAGAAGAUAACCGAGAAGAGGAAGAGAGUCCAGAGAAGAGGAGACACCGCCAUGGAAUUGUAGUUGCAAGAGUUAUCAACUUAUAACCGAUCAGAGAGUGAAAGAAGAAGAGCAUCUCCGGGUCCAUACAAAAUUUUUUUGCUAUUUUAUUUUGACUCGAGCUUGACUAAUUGACUCUUGAUCGAAAUGGUCUUUGAAAAAACAUAGAAAAAUAAGAGACCAAGAUAAUAUAUUCAAAUCUUUAGUAUCGUGCAUACGCUAUGCGGGGGAGAAUAAACAUCUAGUGAUCUAGUCUUUUAAAAAUAUACCAUUAAUCUUAUUUUUACUUUUAAUGUAGUCUUUUAAAAAUAUACCAUUAAUCUAAUAUUAUUUUUAACUCUUAAUGUAGUCUUUUAAAAAUAUACCAUUUAAAUAUGUAUUUUUGCUGUGUAGACUACAUUAAAGAAAAGACUACAUUAAGAGUUAUCUUAAUGUGAAGACUACAUUAAAGCUAGUCUUUAAAAGACUAGAUCCAAUCAUACAGUGAAGACUACAUUAAAGAAAAGGUAUUUUUCAAAAGUGUAAACAAAAAGAGGGUAUUUUUCCAAUAUGUAAAUUCUUUAAAAACUACAGAAAUACACAUUCUUUAAAAGAAAAUUAAAGAAAAGGUAUUUUUCAAAAGUGUAAACAAAAAGGUAUUUUUCCAAAUUUACUCUAAAAAGAAUGUGUAUUUCUGUAUGCCCUAAAUUUUAUUAGAAAUUUGAAAUGUAUACUAUAAUUUUAAAAAAUUUGAGAUGUAUCUUAUUCUUUUUCCAAAAUGACAUUUUUGUCCUUAGUUAAUAACUAAAAAUUUUCAGAAAACGAAAAUAAAAUAAUUUGAUUAGUUACAAAUAUUAUUUAAAAUUCAAAAUUAAAUUGUUCAUAUUAAAAGAAAAAUUAUUAACUCAAAUUUUUUUAUUAUUAUUUUGUGAAAAUGUUAAUGAUGAAACUAAAACUAAUAAUUAUGAUAUAAAUUAUGACUUUUAAUUAUAUAAUAAAAUUAUCUAGAUUUUGGGUUGAUGUAGUAUAAUUUUGGAUAAUGAUUUGAUUAAUAUUAACUACAAACUUUUAUUAUAUAUAAUUUAAAAAUAUUUUUUAGAUUUUGUCAUUGCUAAUAUUUUCGAAUAUAUAUGCACUAUAUUUAUUUUAAAUUUAUUACAAAAUUAAAUUAUAUAAUUUAAAUUAAUUACUCUAAAAUAAAUUAUUUAUUUAACUAUUAUAAUUAAAAAUGAAUAUCUUUACUAAAAAUAUAAAUCAACAGUUCAAAAAAUCGAAAAUGUAAAAAAUCAAUUAACUAAAAUACAAGUCAGCUGUUUUAAUAUAAGUUGAUAGAAAAGAAAAUUAAGUCGACAAAAAAUAAAAUAUAAGUCAACAGUUCAACAAAUCAACCUUAUCAAUAAAUCGAUGUAAAAUUACAUAAGUCAAUAGUUUAAAAAAGUCGACAAAGUCAAAUAUCAAUCAACCAAAAUAUAAGUCGACCGUUUUAAAAUAAAUUGAUAGAAAAUAAAUUUAGUCGACGAAAUGAAAUAUAAGUCGACAGUUCAAAAAAUCGACAUUAUUAAUAAGUCAACAUAUAAUGAAUUAAGUUUACCAUGAAUAAACAUGCCGACAGCAAAAAUUAUAAACCAAUAAACAAAAUAAAUAAGUCAAUAGAUCAAAAAAUCGACUAUUUUAUAAAUCAACUAGUCAAAAUAUAAGUCGAGUGUUGUAAAAUAAAUCGACAAGAAAGAAAAUUAAGUAAAAAAAUGGAAAAUAAGUCGAAAGUUCAAAAAAAUCGACUUUAUCAAUAAAUCAACAUAGGAUGAAUAAAUUUACGAAAAAAUAAGAAGAACUUUUUGUUUAUUUAUUAUAAUUUAAAUAAUUUUUAAUUAUUGAUUUUAAGUAAAUUACAAAUCUUACUAAUAUUAUAAACAAUAAUAUUUUAUAUUUUUAUCUAUUCAAAAUUUAGAUAAUGAUUACUCCAAACAUUGUAAAUAAAUUUUUUGAUUAUUAUUAUUAAAUAAUAACAAAUUUUACUUAUUUUUUAAAAAAUAUAUUAUUUUUAAUUUAUUAAUUUAAAAAAUGCUUAAAUUAAUAAGAAGGGUAUUAUGGUAAAUUCUCAAUAUAAAUAGAGUAUUGUUCAAAUUACUAUAAAACUUAGUGUACUUUUCAAAUUUCUUAUAUAAUUUAGUAUAUUUAUAAAAAUCUCCCAUUUACAUAUUGGAAAAAUACCCUUUUUUUGUUUACACUUUUGAAAAAUACCUUUUUUAUAAUUUUGUUUUAAAAGUAACUUAAAUAUGUAAAAUUACUAAAAUUUACUUAAACUUAAUAACAAUUAAUCAAAAUAUCUAUAUUUUAAAUAUAAAAUAUAUUUAUUGAUAAGAAUUUAAUAUAUAAUUUUUACAAAGUUUUUAUAUAACUAAAAAUUCCAAAAAUUUAUUAUAAUAAAUAUUUUUUAAAAAAUAAUGCAUAACAACAUUCUACCGAUAUUAAGUCAUGUGUUAUUUUUUAAAACAAUAAAGAAUAACAAAAAAAAUUCAAAGAGAAUCAUUGAAUUGAAGCAAAGUUUUGUGAAAGGAAAAUUGUUAAAAAUACCCCUUUUGGUGUACCCAUUUUCAAAAAUGUCCCUUUUAGAUGUCCAUUUUCAAAAAUGCCCCUUUUUAAAUCUGAAAUUUUUAUAAGUUUUAUUAGGUUUAUAAGGUACUUAUGGAUUGUAACUACUACUUGAAGACUCGAUCCAAGUAUUUAUAAGGUUUUAUAAGGUGUUUUUAAAGGUAUUACAAGUUAUUUUAAAGGAUUUUUAAGGUUUUUCAAAGGUUUUACAAGAUAUUUUAAAGGUUUUUAAAGGUAUUUAAAAUGCAUUUAUAAGGUAUUUAUAAAGUAUUUAUAAGAUUUUAGAUACAUAUAAAUGUAGUUUGUGUAUGUUUUAAUAAUAUUACAUACAUAUUUGGGUAAGUCUUAUAUUUUUAAAAGCAUUUUUUAUAAGGUUUUAAAAAAGAGGUAUUUUUCUAAAAGUGGCAUUUUUGCAAAAGCCCCUUUGUGAAAUGUUGAGUUAAAAAAUGUGUUUGGAGUGUUGGAGAUUAUUUUACUUUAUAUAACAUGCCAAAUAUUAAGUGAUAUAAUUUAUAAUAUUUUUAGAUAUUAUCUUGUUAGAUUUUAAUAUAUAAAAUUGAUAAACCAUAUUAGUUUUAAAUAUAUAUAUAUAUAUAUAUAUAACUUUAAUUAAAAUUAUCUUUAAUUUAGUUUUUUUUUCUUUCCCUAAAUUUCGAAUUAAGUUUAUUUAUUAAAAAAUAUAGCUUUAAAUUUAAAUUAAUACCAAAUUGUCAUUUUAUAUAUAAAAUAUUCUAGUUUUCAUCAAAAAUAAAAAGGUAGUUUUCAAAGUAUAACUUAAAAACAGUAGUUUUCAAAAUAACCCUUCUUUUUAAGUUUAUAGUUAUUAUGGAUCAAAUUAUUAUUAUGAGUAAGGGUUGAUGAUUCUAGUCUCUAGAUUAAGGUUUAGUUUUUGGAAUUUAGGUUUUAAGAAGUUAAGAUUUAUAAUUAAGAAUUUAAAUUAUUACUUUAGACCAUUUUGUUAAUUUUGAAAAAUAUAGAGCAAAAAAUAAAUUCAUCAGUCUAAUUGUCAUGUAAAUGAUCGUAAGAACACCUCUAUUGGAAGUAGGCCUGUAAACGGAGCAGAUAUCUGGUUUUUUUAAGAUAUCCGUAUUAUCCGCCAAUUUAGUAUCCGUAUCCGUAUCCGGAAAUUCGUUAAAAAUUCGGAUAUCCGCGAAUGUCCGGAAAUAGUGUUUUAAAAUCCUUAAUUGAUUAAUAUCAUACAUAAAAAAAAACUUAAAAAAUUCAUAAAAUAGCGAAAAGUUGAUUAUAUAUACAAAACAUUACAAAAACAAAGAAUUUAUUAAAGUAGGAAAACGUUUAAAAGAUUCAAGUGAUGUUUUAAAAAAAAAGAGACAUUAAUCAACUUCUUAAAUUCUUCUUAGAAAUUUAUUUUUAAUUUUUGUCAUAUGAUUUAUUUAUUAACAAUGAAAAUAAAAUAAAAACACUUAAAAAGUUGGGCUUACAAGUUCUUUUGGGCUUUAACACUUGAAAAGUUGAGUCAUAAGCCUUUUAAUUUAUAAUAUAUAUGUUUUUUUUUUGCUGGAUAUCCGUUAUCCGGCCCAAAUUUAAGGAUUAUCCGUAUCCGUAUACAUAACCGGGAUAUCCGUUAUUUUACUAUCCGUAUCUGUAUCCGUUUGACCGGAUAUCCGUUUUUUCGGAUCAAAAACCGGAUAUGGAUACGGAUAUCCACGGAUGACGGAUAUAAAUCUCAGGCCUAAUUGGAAGGUUUCUAAGUGAAUUUCUCAUAAUAAAAAAAAAAAAUAAUAAUUGUAAAGAAAGUGUAGAAAGGUUCUCAGAAAGGUUCGCGAUAUUCUUGAGAACCCUAUUAAAACGCUUGUCUAAAACAAUUCAAUUUGUUAUUUUAAAUAAAAGUUUAUUUAUAUAAUCAAAUUGUAUUAAAAUACUGAUAUAUUUUUUUUAAUUGAGAAACUCUUUGGAGUUCUCCUUGAUAUGCUCUAAAAACCACAAAACCAACAUCUCAAACCCAUCCAUUUUGUUUUGCUAAAAGAAACCAAGCCCAUGCAGGCCCAUUGAAACAGAAAAGAGCAAAGUACAAAACGACAAGGGUUUGUUGUGUCUUGUGUUCGUGUAUACAUUUAUUUCCCUCUUCACGAUGUUGGAAGUGAUCAAGUCUUCAUAUUUGUUUUAUUUAGAGUCAUAUAAUGUAUGAUAGCACUAAUAUGUAAAUCAUUCGUAUCACUUAUGAGAUACGUAUGAUAUAAGUAACCGCUAAGUAGUUAUUGUUGAGUAGUUGUGUCUCCACAUUGAGACAUCUGUUAGAGAUGCAACUCUUAGUCCAAAGUGUGUCUUGUAAACCUAUAAAUAUUGCUUUCACUAUCUAAUAAAGUCAUGCGGUUUUCUCGUUAUACAAAACAGAGGAAGAUCAACAAAGAGAUACAUUGAGUGGUUAUACAAAACAGAGAGGUAAGACAAAACAGAGUAAAAUCUGUGUUGUCCGAUCCUUAAACACUUUGAGAGUUCAAAGUUCUACAUGGUAUCAGAGCUAUGGAGACAACAAUGCACCAAGUUAUUCCAAUCUUCAAUGGUGAAUCAUACGGAUUCUGGAAAAUCAAAAUGAUUACCAUCUUGAAGACACGAAAGCUAUGGGAGAUUGUCGAAAACGGAGUCACGGCGAAUCCAUCUUCUGAAAGCACAUCAGAAUCAAUCAGAGAGAGAGAAGAUCAAUUGAUGAAAGACAUGUUGGCUCUCCAAAUCCUUCAAAGUGCAGUCUCAGAAUCUAUAUUUCCGAGAAUUGCUCCCGCGUCGACCGCAAAAGAUGCUUGGAAUGCUUUGGAAAUGGAGUUCCAAGGAAGUUCACAAGUAAAGAUGAUCAAUCUUCAGACUUUGAGAAGAGAGUAUGAGAAUCUGAAGAUGGAGGAAGGUGAAACCAUAAAUGAUUUCACAACCAAGUUGAUUAAUCUGAGUAAUCAACUAAGAGUUCAUGGAGAAGAGAAGUCCGAUUACCAAGUGGUUCAAAAGAUUCUAAUCUCCGUACCACAACAAUUCGACAGCAUCGUUGCGGUACUUGAACAAACAAAAGAUCUAUCAACUCUUUCUGUCACAGAGUUGAUAGGAACAUUGAAGGCGCAUGAGAGGCGUUUAAAUCUCCGAGAAGAUCGUAUCAAUGAGGGUGCGUUUUAUGGAGAAAAGCUUGGUUCAAGAGGAGGAAACAAGCAAAACAAAGAUCGCCAUGGGAAGACCAACAUGUGGUGUGGCGUGUGUAAGAAGAACAAUCACAAUGAGGUAGAUUGUUUCAGAAAGAAGAGUGAAAGCGUUUCACAAAGAGGUGCAAACUAUGAAAGAAGAUGCUACGUGUGCGACAAGCCAGGACACAUAGCCAAAGAUUGUAAACUUAGAAAAGGUGAAGAUGAAGAUGGGUGUCAUAUGCUAUUUAGUGCUGUUGAAGAAAAAGAGAUCUCAACAAUCAAAGAAGAAACUUGGUUGGUAGAUAGUGGGUGCACCAAUCACAUGUCUAAAGACAUUAGAUACUUCAUAACCUUGAAUCGCAGCAAGAAAAUUACCAUAAAGAUUGGUAAUGGUGGGAAAGUCGUUUCCGAAGGCAAAGGAGACAUAAGAGUAACCACAACCAAAGGAGAUCAUGUCAUCAAAGAUGUACUUUAUGUACCCGAACUAGCAAGAAAUUUGCUUAGUGUCUCCCAAAUGAUAUCAAAUGGAUAUCGGCUCAUCUUUGAAGGCAACAAGUGUGUGAUUCAAGACGUAAAAGGAAGAAAAAUCUUGGAGAUCAAGAUGAAGAACAGAAGCUUUCCAAUUCGUUGGAAAAAUUCAAGAGAAGAAGCAUAUGUGGCUUUCGAAGAAAAAGAAGAACAAACAAAUCUCUGGCACAAGCGUUUUGGUCAUGUGAACUAUGACAAGAUGGAGAAAAUGCAAACGCUAAAGAGUGUAGAAGAUCUUCCAAAAUUCGAAGUAAUAAAAGGCGUAUGUGCGGCUUGUGAGAUGGGAAAACAACCAAGGAGGAGCUUUCCAAAGAAAUCUCAAAGCAACACAAACAAAACCUUGGAGCUUAUUCAUUCGGACGUGUGUGGUCCAAUGCAAACGGAGUCAAUAAACGGGAGCAAGUACUUCCUCACGUUUAUUGAUGAUUUCUCAAGAAUGACGUGGGUAUAUUUCUUGAAAAACAAGAGUGAAGUGAUCACAAAGUUCAAGAUAUUCAAGCCUUAUGUGGAGAACCAAUCGGAGAAUCGGAUCAAAAGGCUUAGAACAGAUGGAGGUGGUGAAUUUCUAUCGAGAGAAUUCAUCAAACUAUGUCAAGAGAGUGGCAUACAUCAUGAGAUAACGACUCCCUACUCUCCACAACAAAAUGGUAUAGCGGAAAGAAGAAACAGAACGCUUGUAGAGAUGGCAAGAUCAAUGAUCGAAGAGAAGAAGUUAUCUAACAAGUUUUGGGCUGAAGCUAUUGCAACAUCAACAUACUUGCAAAACAGAUUGCCAUCUAAUUCAUUGGNNNNNNNNNNNNNNNNNNNNNNNNNNNNNNNNNNNNNNNNNNNNNNNNNNNNNNNNNNNNNNNNNNNNNNNNNNNNNNNNNNNNNNNNNNNNNNNNNNNNNNNNNNNNNNNNNNNNNNNNNNNNNNNNNNNNNNNNNNNNNNNNNNNNNNNNNNNNNNNNNNNNNNNNNNNNNNNNNNNNNNNNNNNNNNNNNNNNNNNNNNNNNNNNNNNNNNNNNNNNNNNNNNNNNNNNNNNNNNNNNNNNNNNNNNNNNNNNNNNNNNNNNNNNNNNNNNNNNNNNNNNNNNNNNNNNNNNNNNNNNNNNNNNNNNNNNNNNNNNNNNNNNNNNNNNNNNNNNNNNNNNNNNNNNNNNNNNNNNNNNNNNNNNNNNNNNNNNNNNNNNNUUUUAUCAAGAAUGGCUUUGUGAGAAGCAUCAAUGAUGCAGCGCUUUAUGUGAAGAAGACCUCAAAGGAGAUAAUGGUGGUUAGUUUAUAUGUUGAUGACAUCAUAGUCACGGGAAGCAAAAUAAAGGAGAUUGAACAAUUCAAGGAGGAGAUGAAGAAUGAGUUUGAAAUGACCGACUUAGGAGAGCUAAGUUACUUUCUCGGCAUGGAAGUAACCCAAAACGAAGAAGGUAUUUUCUUGUCACAAGAAAAUUAUGCAAAGAAGCUCUUGAAGAAAUUUGGAAUGCAAGACUGCAAAAGUCUGUCAACACCAUUAACUCCUCAUGGAAAGAAGAAGGAAGUCUUAAAGGAGAACCUUGAAGAUGUUACAAAGUAUAGAAGCAUAAUCGGAGGUUUGCUAUAUCUUUGUGCUUCACGGCCAGACAUCAUGUAUGCAAGUUCAUACCUGUCUCGUUACAUGGCUGCUCCAACAAUGCAACAUUACCAAGAAGCCAAGCGAGUUCUAAGGUAUGUUAAAGGUACUUUGAACUAUGGCAUUCAGUUCAAGCGAGUAGAAGAACCAGAGUUGGUGGGAUUCUCCGAUAGUGAUUGGGGUGGUUCAGUGGAAGACAAGAAGAGUACAAGCGGCUAUGUCUUUACGAUUGGAUCUGGUGCAUGCUGUUGGAACUCAAGCAAGCAGAAGACGGUUGCUCAAUCAACGGCUGAGGCCGAGUACAUUGCGAUUUGUUCUGCAGCAAAUCAAGCCAUAUGGCUACAAAGGCUAGUGAAUGAAAUCGGAUUCAAGACUGAAAAAGGUACAAGGAUUCUAUGUGAUAACAAAUCUGCAAUUGCUAUAGGAAAGAAUCCAGUUCAACAUCGUCGAACAAAGCACAUUGACAUCAAGUAUCAUUUCGUAAGAGAGGCUGAACAAGAAGGAAAGAUUAAGCUUGAACAUUGUCCCGGAGAAUUUCAAGUCGCCGAUAUCUUAACCAAACCUUUAAACACGUUAAGGUUCGAGUCUCUACGAGAAGAGCUAGGCGUGAAGAUGAAGCCAUGAUCAAGGAGGAGUGUUGGAAGUGAUCAAGUCUUCAUAUUUGUUUUAUUUAGAGUCAUAUAAUGUAUGAUAGCACUAAUAUGUAAAUCAUUCGUAUCACUUAUGAGAUACGUAUGAUAUAAGUAACCGCUAAGUAGUUAUUGUUGAGUAGUUGUGUCUCCACAUUGAGACAUCUGUUAGAGAUGCAACUCUUAGUCCAAAGUGUGUCUUGUAAACCUAUAAAUAUUGCUUUCACUAUCUAAUAAAGUCAUGCGGUUUUCUCGUUAUACAAAACAGAGGAAGAUCAACAAAGAGAUACAUUGAGUGGUUAUACAAAACAGAGAGGUAAGACAAAACAGAGUAAAAUCUGUGUUGUCCGAUCCUUAAACACUUUGAGAGUUCAAAGUUCUACACACGAGCCGCUUUAAGCAAAAAAAAAGAAUUGAUUUCACGAAAGCAAGCCGAAGCAGUUGUUUUUGUCAUGUUAUGACCGCUGUAGUAAUUUAUCAUCCUAAGCUACGUGAGGGAAAAGAGAGAAGAUCGUGAUGGGUCGUGAAAGCAAAGUAGUGGGGAGAAACGGAUCGACGGCAAUGGAGACGAAUAGACUAUACUUAGCUUGUCCACGGUGAUGGUGAGGCAGUGGCGAAUCCAUCAGCAUAGAUCAGAACUGGUGGUGUUGAGAACAGUCGAGGAAGAGGAGAAGAAAUAGUACCAAGAAGGUGUUCAGUUUCGAGUUGGGGUUUCUUGAGGGCGAGUUUCGGGUCAGAUGUGAGCAAGUGAGACCAGAUAAUGCUGGAUUUUGAUAGAGCUCAUGUCAGAGAAGCCAUGUGAUCCAUUGGCUUUGUCAUUGAAGGUAAUCCCUAGCCAUGGAGAUGAUUUCUUUCAGCGCAAAAAAACAAGUGUAUCGGUUAAAAAACUGGUAAAAAAUAAACCCUAGAAAACAGUUCUCAGAUGGCUUUUUCAACGUUUAGAAGUUUAAAAAUAACCUGAUCGGGAUGAAAUUUGGUAGCGAGUUUCAUGGUACUAUUGGCUAUAGAUUCAAUAGUGGGAUUGUGACUUCAUCAGUUAGUUAUUGAUUUAUUCAAGUGUUUCCAAGGUAGAUUUGUAUCGAACAAAUUAAUUGUGACAAAUUGUAAUGUUUGGUUAGGCAAACAAACUCUGUUGAGCUGAAACUUUUUAGGAGCCUUCAAGACUCACGGAUUUAGGUUUCGGUUGAUGGAGAACCGCAAUUGAGCUUAACAGUAUGUGGUUGAAGCUCAGGUGGUAAAUUUCUCUUAAAUGAGAAGAAAUGAGAAGCAAGUUGUUUUUCAACAUCAAGUAGCUAAGGUGAGAUUGUUAUUUGUGAUACAUAGUUUUCCUUUUGUUAUGUUUCUUGAUUCAUGACAUAAAUGUUUAGAUCUGAUUGUCCCGGACAAGAUUAGCUAGGUAAUGGUAUCAUUUGGUGAUUGUUAAGUUGAUGUUUGAUAUGUAUGAUGAUGAUGUUUGAUAAUAUCAAGCAUCAACUCAACAAUCACUAAAUUAUAUAUGGGAUGAAUUAAAAAACAUUACAAAAGAAAGCAACAUUAUAUAUGUUUGGCAAAUACCACUUUCACAUUAACAACUCACUUCUCCUUUCUUAUUAUUUAUACAAAUUUACUAUCUUAGUUUCAACUGCCUCUUUUUCCAUACUUUUGAGUUCUAACUUGGUUUUCCAUCAACCAGAACUAGAUCCAUAAAUCCUAAAAGCUUGUAUAACGUUUGGGCUCAAACCAAGCUUGUUUUCUCAACCAAACAAUACAGCUUGUCACAAUUUACUCGAUACAAAUGUCUUGGAAAUUCACGAAAAAUUAACAACUAAUCGUUGGAAACACAAUCCCACUUUUGAUCAUCAAGCCUGAAGUAUCAUGAAGCUCUCCACCAAAUUUUACUCAGAUCCGACUUCACAUGAACCUCUCACGAUACUCUGAAGUUGUUGUGAUGGAACUGUUUCUUGCGCAGGGAGAAAGCUUCACUUUGGCUAAGGCUCAACUUUGUUGAGAGCGUCAUUGGCUCCGUUUGCUUUUGUACUCUUCAAGGAAGACACUUGAGUUGACACCGUAACACCGUUCUUAGGGUGACCGGUUUUUUGGAAGUUAAGUGAUCCCAAAAUAAAUGAGAACGGGUCUUUUAUCUAUUUUUUGGUUCGGUUUACGUCGACGUCGUCUUUCUUCAUUAAUUGGGAUGUAAAAUUUAGUUUUGAAACGAACCAAUUAAUGUAUCAUGUUUUACACGUAUAGCAUCUCUUAACGAACCAAUGCAUCAAGAUUCGUUUUUAUUUGGUGAAGGAAAAGUUUUAUAUUUCCAUAUCUUUGAAUUUGCUGUGAUAGAACUGUUUCCUAGGGUUUCAGGUUUGGACAGUUUCGACUGUUUCUUGCGCAGGAAGAAAAUCUUGUUGUGGCUAGCUUAACUUGGUUGACAGCGCCAGUUGCUUCAAUGGGUUCUUUGACAUGAACUAUGUCUAGUCUUCUGUUUAAUUUGGUCUCACUCACUCAGACAUGGCCGGAAACUUAUUACCUUCAAAACCCCAACUCAAAAGUAAAAACUGCCUCUUUUACUUCUUUCUUCUUUCUUUUUCCUCUCCUUUAAAUACAUAAAAAAUUUUGUUGGUGUAACAAAGUCUAUAUAUGCGGUACUUACAUGAUACACCAAUAUAUAUGCAGAACCAACACAUAAUGAAAACCCUUGUCAUUUGUACUUUACUCCACUUUGGUUCCAAUGGGCCUUAUGGACUUGGUUUCGUUUACCAAAAUAAAAUAGGUGGGUUUGGGGUGUUAGUCUUGUACAAAGUUGAUACCAUAGUUGCCACUUAAUCAGUUAGGACUUGGUUUCGUUUACCAAAAUAAAAUAGGUGGGUUUGGGAUGUUAGUCUUGUACAAACUUGAUACCAUAGUUGCCACUUAAUCAGUUAGCUCGGCCAAGGCCGGACUUAACAACACUAGAGACAACAAACCAAAAAAUGCAGUACACAUGUUUUCUUACCGAAAUAAAAAGGUGGUAACAUACCAAAAUAGAAGUUUUCGAACCCUAUGCUAGCCGCAGUCUAAUUUAAUCGACAUCCUUAAGACAAUAAAAUUUUAUUCAAGUAGUUGAAUGAGAAUGCAUUCGAUGAAUAUUUCUUUUUGUUGUUGUUGUUGUUGUGUUGGCGAAAAUAAUAUAACAUAGAAAGGAAGAAAAAGAAAAAGAAAAACCAUAUUUAUUAUUCCUGAAAUGUAGCAAAAGAGCAGUCCAUAAGAUAUGGACAACAACAAAAUUGCAUGACUAAAGAACCCAAGAAGAAAAGAAAAGCCCUAUAGUUAAAAAAAAAAAAAACCAAACAAGAGCUAAUACUUAACAUGACAAGUGUAACGAAUAAGAGGAACGAAGAAAGGAUCGGUGAAGAAGCCCAAAAUGACAUCGGUACAUUCAUGUCUCAUGUUGACAAUAAGGUUGCAGCAAUAGUCACUAACAAGAAACCCUCUUCUGUAGUAACUUACCUCCAUCUGUUGCUUACAUAUUGCCGACGGUCCAAAUUCGCUAAUGCAGCUCGCGAAAUGCACCCACGGAUUUUGAUAUCGAUGUGCCGGAGUUGAUGGCCUUGUUGGUGGCGGUGGUGGAGACUUCUUGGGAGUUGGACGCGGAGGUGAUGGUUUAGGAGAUG
rnacentral:lncRNA from 1 species